UGCUCACAAUUAAUCCGACUACACACGAGCUUCUCUCCCUGGCCAAGACACAAUCAUAGUAUGAUGAAGAACAUGGCACUAGCCGGCAAUGGUAUGAAGAAGUUAAUCCUCGCUGUUCUCUUACUCUGUCUAGUUAUAGGGCAGAUACAAGUGGAAGCUAAGAGCUGCUGCCCAUCCACCACUGCAAGAAAUAUCUACAAUACCUGCCGUUUCGGGGGUGCAUCCCGUUCAAUGUGUGCAAAACUGUCAGGCUGCAAAAUUAUCAGUGGGAACAAAUGCAAGCCCCCUAACGACCACCUCACCCUUGACCCGGACACUGGUAAAUAAUAAAUUUAUCUCACUUGAUUUCUUCGUGAUUUGAGUCGUUAAUGUAUUUUCCAUCUGAUGAAACGUAUUGGUUUUGCAUUGAAGAGGAAGUUAAUGUGCUUAACUUCUGCAAGUUGGGGUGUGCGUCGUCUGUGUGCAACAACAUCAACGCUGGUAAGCACCUUUUGCUCAGACGGAGAAAACAAUAAUCAUUAAUUAGCGGCAGCUAGAAUCCUAUAAUCUAAUAUAUUUAUAUAUAUAUAUAAUUUUAUCAGCUCUGGGAAAUGAAGAGGCGAACGAUGCCGUUGAGAGUUGCGACCAAGCCUGCUCUAGCUUCUGCAGCGUGCAUGUUGGCAGCGCCACCGUGGUUGCUUAAGCAAAUGCAUGCAACUAGAUCGUCCUUGUGCUGAAUAAUUGGAUAUCGUAUCCACUUAAAGCUGCCUUGUGUAGUACGUCUUUGUUUGUGUCUCUCUUUAUAUUCCACUAAGGUCGGUGAUCUUGAUGCCACACACACUCAGAUGUGUGUUCAUCUCCAGAUACUACUCCAUGCUACCUGCCCUUUUUGUUUUGUUCAAUAACUGGGUAUCAUAUCCCGGCCAGUGUGCCAUCUAUUUUGUGUUUGUUUCCUUCUAGUUCCAAAGGGGUCAUCAUGAUGUUACCUUCUUUCGAUAUGGUGCUUUGCAUGACAACUGUUGUAUGGUACCAUCUUGUUGGCCAAUAAAUACAUCUUAUCCUAUGACCCUUUGCUAUGACCCUUUGCAAAUAAGUACAAGAUUGUUAUAAGCGUCAAUACUCAGUAUAAUUGAUCGCUGCUGUGAGUUCCCUUUCAGCUUAUCGUAGGCACACAUUAUUGCUAGCACGGUAAAGACAACCAACACGAAUGAUGAAGUAAACGUAGCGGUACUUUUGUAUACCAACACCCUUACUUAAAUGUACUGGUGUCAUUCCCUACUGGCACAUAUAUUCUUAUAUGCUAGCCAGAUUGGAAAAUUAACCAAUUAAAAUAAUUAUUUCAAGAUAGAAAUAACUUAUCGGCUUCUCGAAGCAUGUGUAAUUUUAAUUCAAGGACUCAAUGGAAGUUGAAUCACUUCAUCUAGAUUGCCUUCUGGAUUUUGGUUAACUAAAUUUAACAUUUGUGUCGGGGGGAAAUAUUAACGAUUUUCUUACGCUCUCUAAUUAACGGAUACAAGGGCUAGGGCCCACCCCUAAUACCCAUAAUCUCCGCUAACAACACAUCCCAGAGGCACUCCGCUCCGCCUCGCCCGACUUCAGGGUCGCAGGGUCGGACGUGCCCGACCCCCCAAGGCCUCGCCUCGUCUCAGCCGAUGGAGUUCCGCCUCGCCCGACCCUGAGCCCAACGGAUCGGACGCGCCCGACCCCUCGAAGCAGGACUCCGCCUCGCCCGACCCUGAGCGCAAGCGGUCGGACGUGUCCGGUCCCACCUGACAGAGCUCCGCCUACCCGAAGGUACGAGCAGGUCAUCAGACGGAAGCGCGGGCUCUGUGAGUCCCCCUGGGCUCACCCAACCGAUGGGACCGCGCAAGCUUCCAGAUACAGUUCUGACACAUGGAGAGGCGCCCGCGUUCCUCGACAUGACCUGUCAAAAUGUUGGUCUGCGCACUGCUGCCACGACUGCACAGGGCUACACCUGCACCGUCCUACCCCACUGUGACAUCUGUCAUAGGGCACUCAUCGCUCAUACCAUCUAAUGGAGGAGGGAAAACCGCCUAGUUUUCCACGUGGGCUAGCAAGAAGAGCACGUCAGCCACGCCGCCCCGUCAGGGUGCAUGGCUACAGUGGUUGACCAUCACCCGCGACGUGCACAGUCACAGUGGCCAGUCGUCACCACCAACUUGCACAGCUACAGUGGUCGGCCGCCAUGCACGACUCGCGUGUCCGGCUACAGUGACCGACCGCCGAGUCACCGAUGGGACCCAACGGCAACCCCUAUCCCUUAGUAGCAGUACCGACAAGACGCAGAGACAAGAAGGGAAGACGACGUCUCUAGUAGCCCCACUUGCUUCCCUUUUUACCUUUCUACCUGUUUACCUUCCUUACUCCCGGCUCAUUUGUAACCUCUGUAUCCUCCUUGCACUAUAAAAGGAGACCAGGGGGUCUGAGGGCAAGGGACCCUCGGAGACCGAACCCCGAAUUCACCCAAGUACAAACCAACCGAACCACCAGACGAGAAAGACUCACAGAGAUCUGGGAACCAGCUUCCCUCUCUCACCUAUUUGUAGCCUCUACUCCAGACUUGGUACGAGUAACACGAGCAGCCACCCGCACUGGACUCCUCCGCCAGAAACUGGUCCAACCAGUCGGGUCCCUCCCCCUGCUCUUCGUCCUCAUCAUCCUCAUCAUCGUCGUCCUCAUCCGUUGCCGUGUCUGGCCCCUCCGCAGCCUUCAGAACUCCGCUGCAGCUUUCUUUUUCUUCCUCACCGUCUCCUUGUCCUUCCUCUUCUUCUGUGCUUCGUCGAGGAGGCGGUUCCGCUGCCUCUGCACCACGUCCUCUGGCACCGGUGGACGGGAGGCUGUGACAUGGUUUAAGUUACCCUGCAGAUUCGAAGACUCCGCGUCAGAAUAGCAAACCAGGAAAUGCAGGAAAGAAGAACGAGAGUGCAAAUUUCUAACCAGCAGGACAUAGGCCUCGUCCGGGCGCAUCGGAGGGUGCCCCGGCACCGGGAACACGACAUCCCUGUCACCCAAUGCAUCCCGGACACGCUGCUCGAUCUCGGCGUCGGCAAUUGCACCCGUCGCAAGGACGGUGCUGUGGUACGCCCCAACAACUCCGGCCCCGGUCAGGCCCUCCUCCUUCAGAAGGUUGAUGGCUUCGAGGAGACCCCGGAUAUUCUUCUUCUCCUUCUCAACAGGGCCAUAUGUCCACGUUCCCGGUGCCUCCACGAUGACGCGGCCAGUGAACUCCGUCAAGAGGACAUCGGGGCGGUUCUUCACAUAGAGCCACUGCUGAUGCCACCCUUUGUGGGAUGACGGGGUCUUCAUCGAUGUAUACUCCUUGGGCCGAUGGCCACAGAGGUGGAUGCCGGCACACCCCAUCAGCAUCGGAAUCGUCCGCGUCUGGUUUCCUCUCUUCUCGGUCCUCUGAUGAAGAGUGACAGCGAAGAAGUACUUCCACAGGGCGAAGUUGGGCUCGAUCCCCAGGUAUCCCUCCCAAAGCACGACGAACGCCGCGAUGUGCUGGAUUCCGUUGGGGUUGAGGUGCUCCAGCUCAAUGCUAUAGUAGUGCAGCAGCCCCCGGAAGAAGCGACUUGGGGGAACCGCGAACCCCCUCUCGUGGAAGUGCGCGAAGGAGACGAUGUACCCGUCCUCCGGCUGUAGCACGGCCUUGUUCCCGGGAUACCGCCACUCGUUCUCGGCGAUCCUAUCGCGAAGAAGGCCCUUCUUCACGAGACCGAUCACGCGCGCGGUGUUGAAGAUUGACCAAGACCUUGAAUCCAUCGCCGAGGAAGGGGAAGGCUCGACGGCGGUGGUGGAAAGGUGAAUGCUCUGGCUCGAAAGAGGAUGAAAAGUGAACAAGGAGGCGAGAAAGGCUGAAGACGAGUGCGGAGCGGAGCAAGCAAGGUAAGCUCUCUCGUUUUACAGGGGGCGUGCGAGAAACGAAAGGCGAACCGAACGCAUUUAUUGCGACGUCAGGUAUGCCCCAUCGCCUCCGCCUUUCUUCGGAAACCGUACGCAUGAUUUCUUUUUAACCGCAGGGAACGCUACGCCCCCUCGCCCCACGAGCCCGGUGUUUUUUGCCGCUUCGUCUCCUGGAGGUCAUGCGCACAACUUCCUCCACAAGCGGCCCAGGGCCCGCUUCAGGUAAAAAAGGGAUACAGAGCUGAAAACACUCUAACGGCCCAUUACGGUCCAGGGGUUCGAAGGCUGGCCCUCUAGAGGGUUCGACAUCCACCCCAGGACAUUUCUUGAGCAAGGGGUGAGAAGGGACGGGUCCGCUAGCGACCACUACCCUGGUGAACAAAAGCCAAGGGCGUCCCGACCUCACAUUUGAGUCUCGAUUGGCGUUUAAGUUCAUGGUUUUUCCCCGAAGAAAGGCAAAGUGCCCCCGGAUCCGGUUGAACAGACCUGGGAACUAUAUGAACUGGCCGUCCGAAAUCUGGAGUACGCCACCAGCUUGGCCCAAGCCGGACCCGCCCGAACAGGGACCGGGACUCCACUCGAACUGACCCGUUAGCAGCUCACCGAGCACCAUGGUUCGUCCGAUGAGGAUAACAUGGCACGGCUCACCCCCUCCGUCCCAACGAACGGACGCUGAGGGGUAACGACUAAAAGACGAUCCGACCUCUCGAUCGGUCCCCUGCAAUGCGCGGGGGCUCGAGGGCUGGAAUCACAACGAAACGACCAUGCGCAUGGUUACGACUCGGAAUUUUGAGGCAGGAAUGGUCAUUGAAACAAUAGGGAAUCUUCCCAAACCGUACCAUCCUCAGAACACUCUGGCUACCCAAAACUCCCCGGCCAGGCCAAACAAGCAAAACUUUUCUCCUGAUCAAAUCAAGGUACAUGUUAAACAAGACCCCUGACAAACACUCUGCCGAGAGCCAAUCACAGCCUCUGGAGGAGCACCUUGCUCCACCAAAGGCUCGGGGCCUACUGUCAGGGGGAAAUAUUAACAAUUUUCUUACGCUCCCUAAUUAAUGGACACAAGGGCCAAGGCCCACCCCUGACACCCGUAAUCUCCACCAACAACACAUCCCAGAGGCACUCCGCUCCGCCUCGCCCGACUACAGGGUCACAGGGUCGGACACGCCCGACCCCCCGAGGUCUCGCCUCAUCUCAGCUGAUGGAGUUCCGCCUCACCCGACCCCAGGCGUAAGGGGUUGGACGCGCCCAACCCCUCAAAGCAGGACUCCGCCUCGCCCGACCCCGAGCGCAAGGGGUUGGACACAUCGGAUCCCACUAGACAGAGCUCCGCCUCGCCCGAAGGUAUGAGUAGGUCAUCAGACGGAAGCGCGGGCUUUAUGAGUCCCCCCAGGCUCACCUAACCGAUGGGACGCGCACAAUUCUAGAUACAGUUCUGACACGUGGAGAGGUGCCCGCGUUCCUCGACAUGACCUGUCGGAAUGUUGGUCUGCACACUACUGCCACGACUGCACAGGGCUACAACUGCACCGUCCUACCCCACUGUGACAUCUAUCAUAGGGCACUUAUCGCCCAUGCCGUCUAACGGAGGAGGGCAAACCGCUUGGUUUUCCGCGCAGCCUAGCAACUACAGCACGUCAGCCACGCUGCCCCGUCAGGAUGCAUGGCUACAGUGGUUGACCGUCGUCCGCGACGUGCACAGCUACAAUGGCCAGUCGUCACCACCAACUUGCACAGCUACAGUGGUCGGCCGCCAUGCACGACCCGCGUGUCCGGCUACAGUGGCCGACUGCCGAGUCACCAAUGGGAUCCAACGGCAACCCCCAUCCCUCAGUAGCAGUACCGACAAGACGCAAAGACAAUAAGGGAAGACGGUGUCUCCAGUAGCCCUACUUGCUUCGCUUUUUACCUUUCUACCUUUUUACCUUCCUUACUCCUGGCUCAUUUGUAACCCCUGUGUCCUCCUUGCACUAUAAAAGGAGACCAGGGGGCCCGAGGGCAGGGGACCCCCGGAGACCGAACCCCGAAUUCACCCAAGUACGAACCAACCGGACCACCAGACGAGAAACACUCACAAAGAUCUGGGAACCAGCUUCCCUCUCUUGCCUGUUUGUAGCCCCUACUAUAGACUUGGUACGAGUAACACGAGCAGCCACCCGCACUGGACGUAGGGCUAUUCCUGCCCGAACCAGUAUAAACCUCGCGCCCUCUCGUACAACCAUCCAAGCCUUACGCGUAGAGAAACAAAUUUACUAAGCCGGUAGUCUUGACCCGUGAUUCGUGAGACCGACAAUUUGCACAUACAAAUGUUAAAGUACAAAUGUUAAAUCUAGUUACCAAGCAGAAUACGAAAUAGCGGGCUAUAGUGAGGCUAUAGCGGCGCUAACUGCUGCAACAACAGUGUUGUACUAAUUAGCAGGCUAUAGCGGAGCUAUAGCGGUUGAGCACAGCUCUACGCUAAAUAUCAUAGCCCUCAAUUUUGUACAUUGUAUAUACUAUAUAAAUCUAGUUAACAUUUAGUCUAAAUGUUAAAUCGAGUUACCUAAAAUCCUGAAAGCAAAAUGUAUAAAUAUAUAUCUUUUAGGGUAGUAUAAGCUUCGAUUCCUUUUGCUGCUCUGUUAAAUCUCAUCUUUCGUUGUAGCCCAACACUCUAGUAUUGAUUUUGCACCAAGCUUCUUUGAGCCGCUCUGCCCUCUGAUUUUGCUGCGUAGGGGAAUCUUUAUCAGGUUGGGCUACUUCCAGUCGUGCGAUGUAUACCUUUGUAUCUUCUAGAAGGUAGACAGAAAACCCGCGUUCUCUUAAGGCAACAACCAGAAGAUUCUGCAGCGCACGGGGCAUAUCAUUGUUGUAGAAACGACCUUUAGUAUCGAUCUCCAACCCCUUAUAGUACUGGUUUUGCAACCAGUACCGUUAUGUCGGACCUUUAGUACCAGAUCAAAUAACCGGUUCUAAAGGGACUCCUUUAGUACCGGUUGGUAACCAGUAUCAACUUGUUUUGCGGCCAAAAAAAUAAAGAAAAAAAUAGCCAGAAGGCUAGCACACACACACAUCCCACGAAAUAUGCGCGUGCGCGGUCCAUGGGAUUCGAACCCAUGAAAUCAAGCUGCGCGCAACCCUUCGUUACCAUCUCACCUUCAGUACCGGGUCAUAACACCACCCGGUACUAGUAUCGGAUGCUGUAAUGACUCGAUACUAAAAGGCCUCUAGGGACCCUCAAAUUUGGACCCGAUACUAAUGCUAACAUUAGUACCGGGUCAAAGUGCAGCCAGUACUAAAGCAUGGGACGAAAGGUCAUAUUUCUAGUAGUGUAUAGUUGUUGUGUAGGACUGACUUGGCUGUCCUCUCUCUUCUCCAUCCCAUUGGUCUUACGCCGCCGCUCGCACGCGAGCCGGCACCCAACCAGAGGAGUGAGAGCUAGGGGCGGGUUGGGAGGUGGGGGUAGCGACUGGUGGCUAGGGUGAUGGUUGAUGUUGGCGGGGUUAGGGUUUCAUGGUUUUCAAGCUACCUACGGCCGGCGAACCUAGAGGAGGAGGUCGACAUCAGCUGCAACCCGCGGUGGUGGUGGUUUGGCCGGCGCCCCAGGCGAGGCAGCGUGGGAGUGCUGCUGGCGGGUUGGUGUUGGCGCUCAUUAUUGACACAUUUUUAGUACUAUUUUGUUCAUGGAAUAACACUCAAACGUGCUGGUGCUGCUGCCGCCAUCGCCGCCCUAGCCAUAAUAUAAAGGCAAAAUUUGCUAGAGGACAUGCAAAAUGAUGCUAGUUUGCUGGAGGGCACCGUUGACCAUGUAAUAUGCUACAAGACACUCUAGUUGUUCUAGAGUGUAUCAAUUUGCUGAAAGACAUUGCUACGACUAAAAUAAUGUUUCUGGACUGAGUUGGAGAGAGAGAUGGAGUGAAAUGUCUGUUUUGCCCAUGACCCCACUGAUCAGAUCCUUCUUCUUCCACCCUCCUUUCUUCUUUCUUCAACCAUUACCCAGCUCUAGUGUGUUGCAGAUCUACGAGGGUGGCGGCCCGGGGCGAGGGGCAUCGCUUGCCCUCAGACGAGCGCCGCGAGCGACGGCGCGGGGGCAGCAACGGCGCGUCGGAACCUGACCGUUCGUUAGCUCCUCUCGCUGCUGGGGAAGGAGGGGGAGGGGCCAUGGACGGGGUUCCCUCGAAAACCUUAGCCUCGAGCUCAGGCGGCUACGCGCAGGCAGCACUAGGCUCUUCGCGGGGAGGGGGCGCGGCCAAUCAUUGGCACCCCACUGGUCCAAUGCUGAUGAAGAUGGUGCCAGCGUCGUGAAGAUGGUGCCAGCGUCGUGUGAGGACCUCUCAUCUCCUCGAGUUCCAUGGCCAGCACAGGUGAGCGUCCGCUACCACAAAACAGAGGUGUCGUGAGAGUCAAAAAAACUCAUGAAAAUAGCUAAAACCAUCAUGAAAAUAAUCCAUGACACGACACUCUAACGAAAAUCCUCUCACAAAUAUGGUGCCAUCAAAAUACCAUUUUCAUGAGAGUGAACUGUCAUGAUUUUAUUUCGUGAGAGUAUUUCCUAUCAAUGACCUCCACGAAAUACUUUGUGCCACCAGGUCUUCAAGAUCAUUUUCAUGAGAGCCGAACGUCACGAAAGGUCCGCCACAAAUGUUUUUCCUGGGAGCCUCUAACUCUCAUCAAAAGCAUGUGGGCCGCCGCGAAAAACAGCCUGACCAAAUGACAAUUUUCAUUUUCAUGUGCUCUUACCGCCAUGAAAAUGGUCAUUUUCAUGAGAGUUGAUGAAACAAAAAAAUAGUGCCAUUUUCAUGAGAGUUCAAGCAACCAGGAAAAGGCACUAAUAAACAUCCAGAUCCCAUCCAGCACACAUCCAUGCACAUAUAUAACCCACAUAUUGCUCCAGCAACAUCCAUGCAUAUACAAGAUCCAAAUGUCUUGGUAUGAACCUACAUGCAUGUGAUGAACCAGUAACCUGCAAAAAGAGCUCAUAGGAUCUUGUCCUCAUAUUGUAGCUGUGAAAUUCUUGCAAGUAGUGUUGCAAUCAGUUCACUUUGAACCAAAAGAGCUCAAAGGAUCAUGUCCUCAAAGUUCCUCUUAAAGCUUAUGGGUUUGCUGGUGGAACUGGAAGGGCUUGAUGCAGCAUGCCAUUCUGCAAUAGAGAAAAAUUUAGAAAGCUGUACUAGUUAAAAUUGGAUGCAGCAGAGACACAUGAAACUAGUAUUUAUACAAUUCUAUAUAUAUAAUAAUUUGUCCCCUAAAUUUUUAGGAUCCUCUCGACGGUGGUGAGUCUUCCAGUAAGGCAAUUGAAUGUCCAUCGUGAUAAAAUUCUCCUUUGGAUUUAUCAUCUUCUCAACCAGAAAUCCUAGGAGUUCAUCCUUAAGCCUUACCAGUUGUAAUUUGGAAAUAUGUGAAAGUUAAACGAACAAUUAAAAUCUAAGGAUCCUUAUCAUCAUUUCCAUACGUUUGCGAAUUAAAAUAAUGAAGGAUACAAUGUUAGGUGAAAAUUCAAGAAACAAAAUUUUGUAUAGAGAUAAUGGUCCGACAUUAUUACAAGUUAAAGUUGUUUUAAAUAUCCUUGUAAUCUUCCUUUGGUUUCCUCGACGAUUCCAAGACAGUAACCUUGCUUCUAUCAAUGAUAAUUAUAAGGAGAACCCAAUGAAAACUGUGUAUUCAUAUUAGAACUAACUAAGGUUAAUUCGGAUAGGAAAGGAAAUCAAAAAUAGAUGGUACCCACACUUACUUAAAGUUGUAGGGUAGUAGUAUGUAAUGCUUGUAAUUCUGUUGCUCCAAGAAUUUGUAUAUGUGGUUCAAUGUAGACUUUGGUUGAUCCUGUAUCUGCUGUUGGUUGAAUAAGUGUUUCUAACCAUUUCUAGCCGUUAGAACUGGGACUAAAGGGAGCUCUUAGUGCUGGUUGAUAUUACUAGUCGGGACUAAAGAGCCCCCGUUAGAGUUGGUUUUCGGACGUGGAACUAACCACUCCUUUAGUCUCAAGUCCAAAAAUGAUUGAGACAUUUGUUGCUGGAUGGAACACUAGUAGAGAAUUGGCUUUCGAUGCGCCCCCUUUUGUCCCGGUUUAAAGUUGGACUGGGACAAAAGAGGGUGCGCCACGGUAGGUAAAAAUGGAGGGGGGAGUUAGUCCCGGUUGGUAAUUGCAACCGGGACUAGAGGCCCCCCUUUAGUCCCGGUUGCAAUGGCUAGCUGGGGGGCGUCGGUGGCGGCACCUUUUUGUCCCGGUUGGAGUCUCCAACCGGGAUAAAAGGUCCACCCUUUUAUCCCGGUUGGAGGCUCCAACCGGGACAAAAAGUUUAGUCCCGGUUGGAGCUUCCAACCGGGAUAAAAGGGUGUCCCUUUUGUCCUAGUUGGAGCCUCCAACCGGGACUAAACUUUCAACCGGGACAAAAGGUGUGGUUGGAGUUUUUAACUGGGAUAAAAACUCAUCCCCCAUUAUAUACCAAGACAGAGGACUUUCUUCCUCCUCCAGCCCGAGCCAGUCCAGCACAUUCACAGAGAGUUGACCUUCACCUACUCUCCGGUGGUGCCGAAGCAAGGAGGUGCUGCCCGAAGUUUUUUCCCUCAUUUUCGUGGGAAUUUCACUCAGCUAACACAAGUGUUGUGAAGGUUUGCUACUUCAUCCUCGUUUAUGCUUUGAUUUAUGCUUUGGAGAUGGAAAGAUUAUUUGUUAGAAUGUGAUGAAGUAGAAAAUGGAGAGAAUAUUUUGAGCUAGAAUGUGAGGGAGAUUGAUGUGUCAUAUAUAGUAUGCAUUCUUGCAGUGGUUUAAGAAUGAUGCUACCUUGUCCAGACAAUUUAUCUUAUCAAAUUCAAUAUAGUUUUUCAAAUCCAUACUUGUUGAACUUGCAUACCGUGUUCAUCUCUACGAGGAUAUUCUCUGCCGAGCAGCAACGUAUGUCAAGAAGGAGGUUCGAUUCUACGAGGAAGAGUGGAUACGGACAUCGUGACCGUGUCCCCUUUUCCGUAGCAUCUAACCUCUUUCAUGAUGAAGUGCGGUGCCGCCCAGUUGAGAACAUGCUCGCGAGAUGAACACAGUAUGCAAGUUCAACAACUUCUGCAGUAGUAAGGAAAGAAUUUUUGUACAUAGAUGACUUCUGCUACUUGUUGAACUUAUCAAAUUCAAGAAGGUUUUUCAAAUCCAUACUUGUUGAACUUGCAUACCGUGGUCAUCUCGCAGAGGAUGUUCUCCGCCGAGCAGCAACGUAUGUCAAGAAGGAGGUUCGAUUCUACGAGGAAGAGUGGAUACAGACAUCGUGACCGUGUCCCCUUUUCCGUAGAAUCGAACCUCUUUCAUGACGAAGUGCGGUGCCGCCCAGUUGAGGACAUGCUCGCGAGAUGAUCACGGUCUUUAAGUUUAACAACUUAUGCAGUGUUAAGGUAAUAAUUUUUGUACAUAGAUGGCUUCUGCUACUGGAGAAAGUGGCGAUGGUGGGGGUGAUCGUGGUUCCUCUUUCGGCAAGGGGAAAAUCAUAGUUGGCCCUCAGCAUAAGCCAAAGAAAAAGAGCGCACUGGAAAAAGCAAUGCUUCGUUAUUUGCAGCAACGUCAUGAAGAAGUUGUUGCCGCGGGUCAGGAACCUCCUUUUGGUCGUCGUUAUGCUCCACCCUUAGUCCCGGGUGUUUCACAUCCACUUAGUACUACCGUUUCAGGCGGCACAAAUAAACCUAAGGAUGAGGCUAGGUCAGCGGAACUUUCGUCUUCACUGUCCAAGGAUGCUUAAAGUCCUCCUAGAUAAUAACCAGUGGAUGGCUUGUUGUAUUGUAUCAUGUUGUUUGGAUCUUUAAUUUAAAUAUGUGUAUUUGGAUCUUCAUGUUGUUGUAUUGUACCAUGUUGUUUGGAUCUUUAAUCAAUUUUCACACGUAAUCCAUUGUCAAGUGUAAUCCAUUUUCAUGCAUAAUAAGAUGCAGAUGGACCGGCAAUGGAUGUAUAAUGCAGACAGGCAGAGCAAGGUGUUUAUUGAUGGCUUGCAUUAUUGUCUCGAAGUGGCCAAAGCGAACAAGCCAGAGAAUGGGUUCGUAUGUUGUCCAUGCUUCCAAUGCAAUAACAAGAAGGAGUAUUCAUAGGAUUCCUGGGGGACUAUUCACAGCCACUUGUUUAAAUACGGUUUCAUACUUAACUAUUUGGUUUGGACCAAGCACGGUGAACGAGGGGUCGUAAUGGAAGAUGGCGAGAAGGAGGAGGAAGAUGACACCAUUCCAGACUGGGUUGUAGGCCAAGCUUUUGCAGGUACUACAAUGGGCGAGGCUCAUGAAGAUGAGUUUGCAGAAAAUGGCCCUAUUGAUGACUUUGGUCAGGUGAUACGAGAUGCAUACAGAGAUUGCGAAAUUGAGAAGGAAGCAGCAAAGUUGCAGCGCAUGAUAGAUGAUCACCAAAAAUUAUUGUACCCAGGUUGCCAGCUGGGCCAUAAAAAACUAGGUACGACACUAGAAUUUGUGCAAUGGAAGGCAAAAAAUGGUGUGUCCGAUAAGGCAUUUCAGGGGAUGUUGACCAUUGUCAAGAAGAUUCUUCCCGAGAAUAAUGAAUUACCGUCCACAACAUAUGAAGCUAAACAGAUUAUUUGCCCUCUCGGAUUGGAUGUUCAGAAGAUACACGCAUGCCCUAAUGACUGUAUCCUCUAUCGUGGUGAUGACUACGAGAAAUUGGAUGCUUGUCCCGUGUGCGAAGCCCUGCGGUAUAAGAUUAGGUGAGAUGAUCCUUGUGAUGUCGAGGGGCAGUCUCCCAAUAAGAGAGUUCCCGUGAAGGUGAUGUGGUAUUUCCCUAUAAUACCACGCUUGAAGCGCUUGUUCAGGAAAAAGGCGAAUGCUAAGUUGAUGUGAUGGCACAAAGAAGACCGUAAGGAAGAUGAGAUGCUGAGACACCCCGCAGAUGGGGCACAGUGGAGAUCAAUUGAUAGAGCAUUCUCGGACUUUGAAAGUGAAGCAAGGACAUAAGGUUUGGUUUAAGUACUGAUGGAUUCAAUCCAUUCGGUGAGUUGAGUAGUGGCCAUAGUACUUGGCCUAUGACCCUAUUUAUGUUGAACCUUCCUCCUUGGCUAUGCAUGAAGUGGAAGUUCAUUAUGAUGCCGGCGCUUAUCCAAAGUUCAAAACAACCCGACAACGACAUUGACGUGUACCUAAGACUGUUGGUUGAUGACCUUUUACAGCUCUGGAAGGAAGAAGGUGUACGUGUGUGGGAUGAGGAUAGACAAGAGAUCUUUAAUCUACGAGUAUUGUUGUUUGUAACCAUCAAUGAUUGGCCUGCACUGAGUAACCUUUCGGGACAGACAAAUAAGGGAUAUCGGGCAUGCACCCACUGUUUAGACGACACAGACAGCAUGUAUUUGAAGCAUUGUAAGAAGGUCGUCUACAUGGGUCAUCGUCGAUUUCUCCCUGCUCACCACCAGCUGAGAAAGAGCAGGAUGCAUUUCAAAGGGGCGCCAGACCAUCGUAAAAAACCUGCACACCAUAAUGGAAAGUGUGUCUUCAAGAUGAUGAAGGAUGUAAAUGUAGUCUUUGGAAAGGGUCUUGGUAGCCAACCUAUUCCAAACGACAAUAACGGACAUGCACCCAUGUGGAAGAAAAAGUCAAUAUUUUGGGAGCUACCUUAUUGGGAAAUCCUAGAGGUUCGCAAUGCAAUAGACGUGAUGCACCUGACGAAGAAUAUUUGCAUGAACGUGCUAGGCUUCAUGGGUUUUUAUGGGACCUCAAAAGACACAUUGGAAGCACGACAGGACCUGAAAGCCAUGGGGCAACGAGAUGACCUACAUCCGAAAAAGAGAGAUAAUGGAUAGCACUACUUACGUCCUGCCAGUUACACUCUGAGCAAGGAAGAGAAGGAUAGCAUGUUUGAAUGCUUGAAUAGUAUGAAGGUCCCGUCUAGGUACUCCUCGAAUAUAAAGGGAAUAAUAAAUAUGAAAAAAAAGAAGUUUAUAAAUCUCAAGGCCCAUGACUGUCACAUGUUGAUGACCCAGUUGCUUCCGGUUGCACUGAGGGGUGUUCUACUAGAAAAUAUCCAGUUGCCGCUCGUAAAGCUAUGUGCGUUUCUAAAUGCGAUUUCACAGAAGGCAAUCGAUCCAUCCAAGCUAUCAAAGCUACAGAACGAUGUGGUGCAAUGUCUUGUCAGUUUUGAGUUGUUAUUUCCACCAUCCUUCUUCAAUAUUAUGACGCACUUACUGGUUGACCUAGUAAAAGAGAUUGGUAUUCUCGGACUUGUAUACCUGCACAAUAUGUGGCCUUUCAAGUGUUCAUGGCAGUCCUAAAAAACUAUGCUCUUAAUCGUGCCCAUCCAGAAGGAAGCAUCGCCAAGGGAUAUGGAACAGAGGAGGUGAUCGAGUUUUGUGUUGAUUUUAUUGAUUCAAUUGACUCGAUUGGGGUUCCAACUUCACGCCAUGAGGGGAGGCUCCGAGGAAUGGGCACCCUUGGAAGGAAAUCAAGUUUGAGCAAUGAUACUGAUUUGUUCGACAAGGCACACUACACGGUUCUACAACAGUCAUCCUUUGUGUCUCCAUAUAUUGAGCAGCACAGGCAGAUGGUAGUUUCCAAAAACCCGACCAAAUCCGAUGCUUGGCUUACCCGUCUUCACAUGGAAACUUUUCCCUCCUGGUUGCGCCAACAACUUAUGGGUAACUCUGAGAUUCACCCACAGCUUGCCUGGUUAGCCAGGGGACCUGCUAGCACAAUUGUGAAAUUUCAAGGCUAUGAGAUAAAUGGUUAUACAUUUUACACGAGAGCCCAGGACCAGAAAAGCACGAAACCAGAAUAGUGGUGUCCGCAUACAUGCCAUGGACAGAAAUAAUAGCAAGGAGUCGUAUUAUGGUUUCAUAUAGGAGAUAUGGGAACUUGAAUACGGACCGUUGUACAUCCCUCUAUUUCUUUGUAAUUGGGUGAAGCAAACUGCCGUAACCAAAGAUCAGUACGGAAUGACAAUAGUAGAUCUGAGCAAGACUGGAUACAGUGAUGACCCAUUCGUACUUGCCAACAAUGUGCAACAGGUGUUCUAUGUGAAGGACAUGUGUAGCAAACCCAAGAGAAAUCCAGAAGAGACAUGGGAGCCAAAGUGCCACAUAGUUUUUCCAGGUAGAAGAAAAAUCGUGGGAGUCGAGGAUAAAACAAACCAAUCAGAUGAUUAUGAUUAGUUUGAUGGCAUGCCUCCAUUCGCCGUUGAAGUUGAUCCAAGCAUCCUGCUAUCCAAAGAAGAGGCUCCGUACUUACGCCGCGAUCAUGAUCAAGGAACUUUCGUGAAGAAGAAAUUCUACAACGUUGUAUUGUAAUGCGCUAAAUUUACAUGACCUUUGUGUAGUAAUUGAUACAAUUUUUAAUUUACCCUAUGUAUGAUUUGAUGUGUUCUUAAAUUUGUUAGGUGAAGAUUUAUUAGAUAAACAUGAACAAUGUUAACCACAUACAUACAUGGAUUUUUCUGCGCAUUGAAAUUAUUUAAUGGAAUAAUUUCUUGAUCACAGCGAUGUAGUAAAAUAAAUAUUUUAGAGCCUAAAUGAACUGGUAUAGAAUUAAUGACUAACUCACACUUAUUGUCAAUUUACUCGCUAAUUAAAUAUAUUUUUGCAUGUACAAAAUAUGUGAAGGUUUUUGUUUUUCAUCCUGAAUUGCAGUGAAAAGAUAAAUAAAAUCCAUUUCCAAAAAACAGGCGGGAGAAGAAAACUGGGAAAAGGACCUUUUGUCCCGGGUGCCAACAGAAACCGGGACAAAAAGCCCCCCCCCUUUUAUCCCGGUUGGUGGUGGCACCCGAGAUAAAAGGGUAGGCUCCAAGCCCCACUUGGCGGACGCACCCUUUUGUCCCGGGUCCCGUCACCAACCGGGAUAAAAGGGGGGGCCUUUUAUCCCGGUUGGUGAGGGGACCCAGGACAAAAGGCCCUUUAGUCCCGGGUGUCAUUACGAACCGGGAUAAAAGGGGGGUUAAAAGGCACUAUAGCCCCUUCUACCCCCCACGCCAGUUACAGUUAGCAAAAUUUUCACCAAGAUCCCGCGCGCACUCUGCUCCGUCGCUGCCCGUCCGCCUUCCUCGCCAGCCGUCAUCGUCGUCGUCCCCCAUUGCCCCGGCCGUCGUCGUCCCGCCGGCUGACCGUGCCCAGAUAGCCUCCUCCUCCAUCGCCCCGGCCCGCCUCGAUCCUCCUGCGUCGUGCCCGGCCCCUACCUCAUCGACGCCGGCCACCUCCAUCGCGGGGCCUCAUCGCCGCCUCCAUCCUCGUCGCCACCUCGACGCCCUGGGUCGCCGCCUCGUCGCCCCUCGUCGCUGCCUCGUCGCCGUCCUGCCUCCGCCGUCUCGCCGUCCCGCGCGCCUUCGCUCCGUCGUCGCCUCCGCCGUCCCACCGCCCCAGCCACCGCCAUCCCGCCACCCCGGCCACCUCGUCGCCCCGACCACCGUCGACCGCGCGUGAGGUCCGCCGCACCGGCACUGGCGCCGGGAGUACCGCCUUGCUGACGCAAGCCCACCGGCUUGCGUCAACAAGGGCCUUUUUUAAGUUAGAAAAUAAAUAGAAAGGAGUAGUAAUUAGGUAGAAAUUCAAUAGAUUUUUGUAUAUGUGUUACAAAAUCAAAUUAGUGUAAAUUAGUUGUAAUUAGGUUCGUCGCUCUGCCUAGGUUAGAAAUGAAUCGUGUUUCGUCGUGGUUCCGUCCCCGCCUCCGCCGUCCCGCCACCCUGACCGUCGCCGUCCCAACCUAGGCACCGUCUGUGGUUCCGUCCCCGCCUCCGCCGUUCCGCCUCCAUCGCAAAUUCAUGUUAUUGCUAGAAAUUCCAAUAAAUAUGAACAAAUUAGUAGAAAUUUGGUAGAAAUUAAUCAUUGCUGCGGCCACCUCGCUCCACAAAUUCAUGUUAUUGCUAGAAAUUCAUAAAAAUUCAUGUUAUCACUAGAAAUUCGUACAAAAUUCAUGUUAUUGCUAGAAAUUCGUAAAAAUUCAUGUUAUUGCUAGAAAUUCGUACAAAAUUCAUGUUAUUGCUAGAAAUUCGUACAAAUUCAUGUUAUUGCUAGAAAUUCGUCACAAAGUACUACUAAUUUGCAAAAAUUUGUAUAAAUAUUCCGGACUUUGUGGGAUUCAUGUUAUUUUCUGAUUUCAUGUAUAUACCCUUAUGUACAUAUAACUAAGGAGAUUUCUAUGACUUUCAUGUAUGUUUCAAUCAAUAGUUGAAAUGGCAGACGAUGAGACCGCAAGGUAUCUCAUGGAGCAGAUAAUCGCUGGUGAUGGUAGUGGCGACAACCUUCCACUAUCGUACACCGAUGAAGAGGGCACCCAGGCGGACAUGUUCCUCAACAUGUCCGCCGAUGGGAAUGAAGAGCAAAAGCCCCAGCAACACCUUGCCGGGGCGGAAGGUUCCGGCGAGGUAUAUAUAACGAUUCUUGUAUUGUUUCACACCACCGUUACUACUACGUACUAAUUAACGAAUCAUGAACCGUUAGCCCUCUGGAUCGACGCAAGGGCAGAAGACACGAGGUCGUACAAAGGUGAUGGAAGGGAGGCUUGUCAUCACGGAAGUGAUAGAAGAGGGCAGGCCGGUUGCUCCCGAGAAAGUAGCAAAGAAGUACGUGAGUCAGAUCGGGGCAAUCGUCCGGGACAACGUGCCUAUCAGCAUCAGAGAAUGGAAGGGCAGAAGCACUAAUCCGUACGCCCUCCUGGAGACAGAAAGAAUAUGCUGUGGGAAGAUGUCAAGAGACAUUUCACAUUCACCGAAGGAUAUAUUGAGAAGGAUGUGAAAGCGUGGACGCUUAAGAAGAUGGCUACACAAUUUCCAGACAUUUAAGAAGAUGCUAGAUACCCACUACAUUAAGAAGGGCCGAACUCCAGACUUCAACGCGUGGUCAAAGUUGAGGGACCACUAGGAUGCAUUUGUUGAAUAUAAGAGGAGUGAAUACGAUGUGAAAAAGAUCACGACCAACACAACAAAUGCUAGUCAGAAGGGCUACCAUCAUCAUCUGGGGCGAGAUGGUUAUGGCUCAGCAAUUCCCAAGUCGAGGAAGAUGGAACAAGAUCUGAUUGAACGGGGAAUCGUACCGGCAACUAUUGAAUGGCCCGAACGAUCAAAAAAUUGGUACUACGCUCAUGGAGGCUCCCUGUGCCAAGAGGAUGGGACGUUGAUUUUCAAUAACACAAUACGUUAGAAGGCCAAACAUCUUGUGAAGAACAUUGAAGAUUCUAAGGCUGGGAGGUUGAAGGUGGACCGAGAAAAUGAUGAGCUCACAUUGGCCCUUGGUAAUCCAGAGCACCCAGGAUGUUGCCGAGGGUUCGGGGUCGUUCCGUGGAAGUUUGUUUUCCGAGGCGACAGCGCCUCGUACAGAAGCCGGAAGCGAAGAAAGGAACAGAUCGAGGAGAGCUGGUGGCAGAUGCUAGAAUCCAAAGUGCAGGCACAAGAACAAAGAAUGAUGGAGGAAAUCAAUCGUCGAGUGGCCCACGCAGUUGUGGAGUUGGCCCAAUCUGGAGCAUUGCCGAAUCCUAACAACGCCAGCCCUUCUCAAUGCCUCUUGAGCAGUUAUGCUUCUACAGGGGUCCCCGAUGCGCACACGCCCAGGUUACCCGUGGAGGAGCAACGGUUCCCCGUGGAUGCCAUCACGCAACACACCACAUGUGAGCUGCAUGCACCGGUCGGCAACCUCACUAUUAAGGUAUACUUAUACAUAAUAUUUAUGCAAUCUUGUCAAUUGAUCCACGCCUCGAUAUCGGAGUUUAACUUGUUUACUUCUACUAUAUGUACAGGUAGCGUACGGGAGUGCGUUAGCAACCCUGGCGGGGCAGAGCAGUCAUGGCAUGAAGAUUCCACCUGGCUACGCUAGCGUCCGCGUAGAGCAAAUAGUUGAUAGCCAAUAUGAAGGUCUAGAGCUCGACCUCCCGGGAGGUGACAGGGAAAGAACACUGGCAGAUGCGCUUCAUGGGAUCAUUCUAUGGCGAAAACGCUACAUCAUUAUUCCCGGCACGGAGCCAUCUCCUCAGAGCUCAAGACCACUCCCCGUAGAUCCCCAGCAGCGACCUUCUCCUCAUAGCUCGAGACCGUCAUCUCCUGCACAACCUGCUCCAGGACCGUCCCUUCCAUCUAUAUCAAGGUCUCCAUCUCCACCACAUCCUGGUGGUGGGAGCGACGACGACAAUAACAACACCCCUUCCUGAUCACCAUCGCCGGCACCAAGAGCGGCCCCCAUGAAGGAACCUGCACCACCACUAAAAAAGUCACGAGCACCGCCUCCCAAGCAAAGACAGAGAAAGAAGAAAACAAAGGAGCCUGAAGUGACUCGUAAGGAACGCUGGGAGACAAUGUCUCAUGCGGAACAGUGGGCAGAAAUCCAACAAGAGGCCAGUGAGUGGUUCAAGAAACAAGCCGAAGAAAAAAAAGCAACGGAGAUGCAGCCACCGCCAGUAAAUCGAAGAGAUUUAAACUUUUUUAUCAGGAUGGAAGAAGGAGCCAAGAAAAGGAUACCACUCUUAUCAAACUAUGAACGGGCUUUAGUAAAGGCUGAUGAAAAGGAUAAAAGGAAAGGAAAGUCAUCUUCCAGCGGUGCUGUCCCCGACCUCAGCCAUUUAUCAAAAAAAGAUGCUCAACGGGUAAAAGCAAUGCCCUUGGAUCAACAAGCAGAAGUAUUGAAGUUCAUGCAAGAAACAGGUCUGGGACUUGAUGAAUGCCUAGGGCAAGUUGAGACGCCAACUGCACCGCCCCCUGAGCCGAGAUGGCCUUAUGAGCUAGGCAAACCUCUAGUAAAGCCUUCAUUGGUACGAAAGCUAUCAACAAAGAUGUACGCAUUCCAUCAAUGGUACAUGAUGGCAUCCGCUGACUCAAGGGAGAUGCUCGGCCUGAAGGUAAAACCGAUGGAUUUUCACGACAGAGGCGAGAAAGUGCUGUGGCUAGACUUCAAGGAUAUAUACGAAGUGUACCAUCAUGAUGCCAUAGACGUCUCUCUGAUCCGCGCUUGGGUUCUGUAAGUGUCCGUUUAUCUCUACAUGUAAAUUUUGGCGUGCGUCACCGUACUAACUUCGUCUUCCAUUUCAUGUAGGAUGCUAAUUCAGACAUGCCGCCGAGAGGCGUACCUACAUAUAGGCUUCAUGGAUCCAUCUGUAGUUAACCAACAGCAGAUACAAUUAGCAUCGGAGAAAACCUUGGUGGAAGUAUACAAUUUCCUAGACAAACAAACAUUCAAGGAUUUCAUACUAUUUCCAUACAACUUCAAGUAAGUGUGUGUAUACCGUCUACUUUCGAUGUCUUUUUCCUUAUCUCUACAUGUUAGUUAGCUCUAAUAUGCAUGAACAUUUUACGCACGCAGCUUCCACUGGAUCCUUAUUAUAAUUGAGCCUCAAAGAAGCCACGUCACUGUCUUCAAUUCGUUGAGGAAAGAUCCAGUGGAGCACCAAGAAAUGCAACACAUGCUAGGCUUGUAAUAAUUCUGGACCUUUAUCUCUAUGCAAAAGUUUGUUUCCUAAAUUCUAUCCCUGUUACACUAUAUCAUUCAUUAUUCUAAUCCACAGCGUAUGGAAACAAUUCAUAAGGACACAAAAAGGUCCAUUCAAAGAAAAACUUACAUGGAACACAGACUUCCCGGUACAUAUGAAGUCUGCACAUUUAUUACAUUGUAUAACACGAAUAUUUCAUAACUUAUUUUUUUCCGUAUUGAAGUGCUUAAGACAGGAACUCGGAAAUAAUCUAUGUGGCUACUACAUCUGUGAGCACAUGCACAGUUUUAUGGGACCCAAGGGACUAAAGAUGACGCCGCACAACUUUAAAGUACGUAAAAUAAAACUAUUACUAGUUAAUUAUUUUCUAGCUCCUUAUAUGUAUUUGUUCACGUAACAUUCACAAAUUUCCAAAUUAUAGAUGUUAAAUAUUCAACAAGGACUCUUGAAGGAAGAAAGAGUAGCGGCAAUAUGUGAAGGUCUCAUUGGAUUCCUAAUGGACAAGGUGGUAGAUCCAAAAGGAGAAUUUUAUUUUGAUGGACGACAAUUAGACACUCUGAUCAGCAACACCUCGAUGGGAAGAUUGUAGAUAGAUACUUUGAUUUAUUUGUAUAUAUAAUACGCGCUAAUUAUGAUCGAUUUGUACUAGUUGAAUUCUGUAUAUGAAUUGUGUAUAAGAAUUGUGUAUAUAUAUAGUAACUGUAUAAUUACAAAUCCCAUUCGUUUAAAUACUAGUUAAUUUCAUUCUAAAAAAAUCUCAACUACUUAAGGUUAACAAAAGGGCUGCGGUACUACGUACGUGAUGCAUGCAUGAAAAAUUCAGGCGCCAGGCAGGUGCCAUGCAGGGCAUCAUUUAGUCCCGUUUGGAAUCCAGCCGGGACUAAAGGGUAACCCUUUACUCCCGGUUGGGAAACCCAACCGGGACUAAAGGGGGACCGUUACUCCCGGUUAAAAGACCCGGGACUAAAACCCCCCCUUUUGUCCCGGUUGGCUUAUCCCGGAUAAAUUUUCGGGAGAUAUGCACCCUACCAACCGGGACUAAAGGCCAAUUCUCCACUAGUGGAAGGUCCUUUCUCUACCAUGAAUAUUGCCAGAAAGAAUUGAAAGAGACCGCUUGCUAAAAACAUGUCAUAGAUGCGGACCAAGCUACCAAGGAGGUAGACCAAACAUGAUACACACCAUGCGUACCUUGCUGUGCAGACUAUGCAUGGACAAGAUACCCGACCACAUGUUGGCUUUGGUCACAUCAAAAGAAUCAUGUAGGCCAUUAAUAAACUACUUGAAGCGUCAUUCCGUAUCUUAUAUCCAUCAUCUGCAUUACAUUACAUUAAAUAUUAUUAACUAUUUGAAUAAAAUGAACCAAUUUAAAAAUAAUGAAUUGUACAUUACUACAAAAAGCCCUAGCACUGCCAGUUCCAAAAACAUCAUUGUUGACGGCCGUUAAGUACCAAAUAUGACGGUCAAUAUCCUAAAGAAUAAAGGACAAUUGGCAUUUCUUACACACAUAUUUGGUUUCGAAUAAUGUAGUUCUACAUGUCCUUGGAGAUUAUUUGGGUGUGGGUGAAAUAAUACAAAAAGAAGGAGAAAACACACUCCCAUGGCAAAGAAACAUAACUCCGACCAAUGAGAGAUAGCCACAGGGGCAGCACAUGGAUCCAUGGGCCCACAAACUGCAUCAAACCAUCUUACAAGGCGGGUAGCACCCACAACUGUCAUUAGGACCCACCUGGAAGUCUAGCAAAGAAGAAGGUUGUGAGUGGGGCCACGAGGGGUUCGGUUGAAUCAUCUCUAGCUCCCUUCAUCCCCAGCUGGCGCGUGGCGGUGGUUCAUGGUGUCCCGACAUCGGUUAGAGGACAUUCCCCCAAAUAUUCCUCCUGUAAACCAGCUCUAUGAACCUAUAAAUAGAGGGGUGUGCUCUCCAUUCCAACACACACCACAAGUUGAAGCACUCUCUCCCUCUUUAGUUUCCAAGUUUACGGAGAUAGGCUGGAGUAGCUCUGCUAAAGGUUCCAAGUCCACUUGGAGUUAAGCGUAUGUCUCUUGUAUCAUUAUUUCCUAGAGAGACUUUAUGCUAUUCAAGUUAUUUAUCUUCUUCAUAUAGUGUUAUGCUUAGUUCUUAUAUGCAUGAGUUAGUCUAAUACCCUUGCUCUAUUGAUAUGCUCAGCUUAUGUGCUCGUAUGCUAGUCAUGUACCCUUGCUGUCAUAGUAUAGGGUUAUAUGCUGUCAUGUGUGCCUAUAGACCUUGCUACAGUAUAUACUUGUUGUGUAUACAUACCAUUUGUAUAUACAUUAUUACAAGUUAAGGUAGUUUUAAAUAUCCUUGUGUUGACAACCAAAGCUUGAUCUUUUGUUUCCAUUGCCAGCGGAUUCAUCGGCUCAGAGUAGGAUCAAGACAUCAAGUUGAUGGAGUUCUUUAUAUUUCAAGAGGAGUCAUGGAGUUCUUUAUAUUUCAAGAGGAGUUGAUGGUGCUUUCAAUAUUGCAACCAGACAUCAUUGGCUCUGAAGACACCGAAUCAUCGGAGUUCUAUGAUCAGUUUCGGAACAUGAAGCCUUCAUACUCCGAAACUGGGGGGCCUGUGUUGACACCGAAUUAUCGGACUUCUAUAAUUAGUUUCGGAACAUGAAGCCUUCAUACUUCGAAACUGGGGGGUAUGUGUUUACACCAAAAUUUAGAAAUGUGCUCUGAAAGGAAGGACCUGGGAGAUCUAUUGGCUGAAAUACAAAUCCAUCGAAACUAGCCUUAUGCUAAGAGAUCAGAAUAUUGUACAAAGUCUAGAAAGUUCUAUUUACAUCUAAGUAACUCGAUAACUAGCCUUACGCUAAGAGAUCAGAAUAUUGGACAAAGCCUACAAAGUUCUAAUAUAGGUAACGUAAUGACCAGGUGAGGAUAGUUACAAGCUCGCUUGAGAUCGAAGCCGAUGUAGCCCUGCGCGCAAGAAGAAACUCACCUAUUUCUACUCUACUCUUACUCCUAGGGUUUGAUGGCGUGGCGUCAAAAGAUUGUAUUGAUUGAUUGAUUAUUUGAUACAAAGCUCAUGGGCCUAUAUUUAUACCCUUGAGAAAGCUAAAAUCCUAAUCAGUUAUGACAUGAAUCGUGACAGAAAAUCUAACUAAAGAUAGAUCUCCAUGCUUUCCCUUAUUUGGUGGAGUCGAUUUCACUUCAUAUCGGAUCCCUCCCGAUCUUCUAUCGGCUUCUAGCAUCCGGUCAUCUGCGACUGGCCUUGGUCAACAUCAGGUGUCAACAGACUUAUUUCUUCUACAAGUUCAUCGGCUGUCAGAGCCUUGUCUUAGUCAGUUGACUCUAGUAAAAAAUCGAUGUCAAUACAUGCCCCCCAAUUUUUGAAUAAAAUAUUAUAUUUCAAAAUUCUCUUCUCUUGUCAACAGCUUUUGAAAGAAAAAGAGUCACUGCUGCAAUCAUAAUCUUUUUCCCCGGGUUUUGUGAUAGCACCCUCCUCAUUUUAAGGGAUUCACCAUGUGGAAAUUAUAAUAUAACUGCUUCACCCAUUUCGUUUUCUUCACCAAACCAACUAUUGUCAGCCGCUACAACCAAAAAUCAAUUAUUCCCUUCACAUGCCUAGCGACUGCAUCCAUCACUCAUCGUCACCAUUAGUCUCCAUGUGUCAAGGCUUCUUCAACCAGCAAUGGCGACAUUAUCUUCCAUUCCACAGGUACCAUGUAUCCUAGCCAUUCCUUUCCCCUUUCAACCUGAAAUCCAAUCUAGUCACUAUAUAUCAAACCUGUGUUCUUAAUCAAUACUUGCCCCCUUGUACUUAGAAACACCCUUUUGAUCCCCAUAUCCGAUACGCAAGCAGAAUACUUUCUAGGCCCCAUGGGUAGUGAAGACCCAAUAGAAUCUAUUAAUGCUGAAAUACUUGGACAAAGUCUAGAAAGUUCUAUUUACAUCUAAGUAACUCGAUAACUAGCCUUACGCUAAGAGAUUUAAAUAUUGGAUAAAGCCUAGAAAGUUCUUAUAUAGGUAACUGAAAAGUGUGUUGACGCAAAAAUUGGAUGGUUGACUCCUGCGUACUAACACACGGAACCAGGGAGAAUCUGCUUAGCUACUGUUCGGGUUAUAGCCCUCUCGAUCCGUAGCGUGCCAGUUAAUCUGACCUGCUGAUUGACAAGUAAAAAUGUCAAAUUAAGAGCAAAUCAGCUGGUGUUCCGAAUCGCUCCACGGGACGUAUCAGUAGACAGCCGAUACGGGCAAACGACAAUCAGCUAGAUCAGCCGAUUUGCUCUUGUAUUUGACGUUUUACUUGUCCUUCUCAAUCAGCAGGUCAGAUUGACUCGCACGACGCAGAUCGAGAGGGCUAUAACCUAAACAAGAGCUAAGCAGAUUCUCCCGGGUUUCAUGUCUUAGUACACAGAAGUCAACCGUCUGAUUUUAUCAUCAACACGCUUUUUGGCACGCUCAGUGGGACCCGAUUCAUAUCUUAAUGGUAAUUGGUGAUCAAGUUUCAAACAACGUAUCCACUGGUAGAAAACUGAGCAUUAGUCCCGGUUGGUAAGGGUCAUAUCUCUCGGAUAUCCAUCCGGGAUAAACCAACCGGGACAAAAGGGGGGGGUCUUUAGUCCCGGGUAUUUUAACCGGGAGUAAAGGACCCCCUUUAGUCCCGGUUGGUGUCACCAACCGGGACUAAAGGGCCUGCCACGCCAGGCGCGGGACAGGCCCUUUAGUCCCGGUUGGUGACACCAACCGGGACUAAAGGGGGUCCCUUUAGUCCCGGUUGGAUUUCCCAACCGGGACUAAAGGGGUCCCCUUUAGUCCCGGCUCAAUUCCAACCGGGACUAAAUUGCGCUUGCAUGGCACUGGUGACGCCUGAAUUUUUCAUGCAUGCAUCACGUAUACGUAUAGUAGUACCGCGGCCCUUUUAAUUUGUUAACCUUGUAGUUGAGAUUUUUUUAGAAUGAAUUAAAUCAACUAGUAUUUAAACGAAUGGGAUUUGUAAUUACACAACUACUAUAUAUAUACACAAUCCUUAUACACAAUUCAUAUACACAAUUCAACUAGCUUAAUUAGUACAAAUCGAUCAUAUAUACAAAUAAAUCAAAGUAUCUUCCUACGAUCUUCCCGUCGUGGUGUUGCUGAGAGGAGUGUCUAAUUGUCGUCCAUCGUAAUAAAAUUCUCCUCUUGGAUUUACCACCUCGUCCAUUAUGAAUCCAAUGAGACCUUCACAUAUUGCCGCUACUCUUUCUUCCUUCAAGAGUCCUUGUUGAAUAUUUAACAUCUAUAAUUUGGAAAUUUGUGAAUGUUACAUGAACAAAUACAUAUAAGGAGCUAGAAAAUAAUUAACUAGUAAUAUAUUUAUUUUACGUACUUUAAAGUUGUGCGGCGUCAUCUUCGGUCCCUUGGGUCCCAAAAAACUGUGCAUGUGCUCACAGAUGUAGUAGCCACAUAGGUUAUUCCCGGGUUCCUGUCUUAAGCACUUCAGUGCGGAAAAAAAAUAAGUUAUGAAAUAUUCGUGUUAUACAAUGUAAUAAAUGUGCAGACUUCAUACGUACCGGGAAGUCUGUGUUCCAUGUAAGAUCUUCUUUGAAUGGACCUUUGUGUGUCCUUAUGAAUUGUUUCCAUACGCUGCGGAUUAGAAUAAUGAAUGACAUAGUGUAACAGGGAUAAAAUUUAGGAAAUAAAUUUUUGCAUAGAGAUAAAGGUCCAGAAUUAUUACAAGCCUAGCAUGUCUUGCAAUUCUUGGUAGUCCACCGGAUCUUUCCGUAACGAAUCAAAGACAGUGACGUGGCUUCUUUCAGGCUCAAUUAUAAUAAGGAUCCAGUGGAAGCUGCGUGCGUAAAAUGUUCAUGCAUAUUAGAGCUAACUAACAUGUAGAGAUAAGGAAAAAGACAUCGAAAGUAGACGGUAUACACACACUUACUUGAAGUUGUAUGGAAGUAGUAUGAAAUCCUUGAAUGUUUGUUUGUGUAGGAAAUUGUAUAUUUCGGCAAAGGUUUUUUCCGGCGCUAAUUGUAUCUGUUGUUGGUUAACUACAGAUGGAUCCAUGAAGCCUACAUGUAGGUACGCCUCUCGGCGGCAUGUCUGAAUUAGCAUCCUACAUGAAAUGGAAGAUGAAGUUAGUACGGUGACGCACGCCAAAAUUUACAUGUAGAGAUAAUAAACGGACACUUACAGAAUCCAAGCGCUGAUCAGAGAGACGUCCAGGGCAUCAUGAUGGUACACUUCGUAUAUAUCCUUGAAGUCUAGCCACAGCACUUUCUCCCCUUCACCGUGAAAAUCUAUCGGUUUUACCUUCAUGCCGAUCAUCUCCCUCGAUUUGGCGGAUGCCGUCAUGUACCAUUGAUGGAAUUCGUACAUCUUUGUUGACAGCUUCCGUACCAUUGCCGGCUUCACUAGAGGCUUGCCUAGCUCAUAAGGCCAUCUCGGCUCAGGGGGCGGUGCAGUUGGCGUCUCGACUUGCCCUAUGCAUUCUUCAAGUCCCAGACCUGUUUCUUCCAUGAACUUCAAUAUAUUUUCUUGUUGAUCCAAGGGCAUUGCUUUUACCCGUUGAGCAUCUUUCUUUGAUAAAUGGCUGAGGUCGGGGACUGAACCGCUGGAGGAUGAUUUUCCUUUUCUUUUAUCCUUUUCAUCAGCCUUUACUAGAGCCCGUUCAUAGUUUGACAAGAGUGGUAUCCUUUUCUUGGCUCCUUCCUCCAUCCUGAUAAAAAAGUUUAAAUCCCGCCGACUUACUGGCGGUGGCUCCAUCUCCCUUGCCCUUUUUAAUUCGGCUUGUUUCUUGAACCACUCACUGGCCUCUCGUUGGAUUUCUGCCCACUGUUCCGCAUGAGACAUUGCCUCAAAGCGUUCCUUGCGAGCCACUUCAGGGUCGACCUUUGUUUUCUUCUUUCGAGGCUGUCUUUGCUUGGGAGGCGGUGCUCGUGACUUCUUGAGUGGUGCUGCAGGUUCCUUCGAGGGGGCCGCUCUUGGUGCCAGCGACGGUGAUCGGGGAGGGGUGUUGUUAUUGUCGUCGUCGCUCCCAGCACCAGGAUGUGGUGGAGAUGGAGACCUUGAUAUAGAUGGAAGCGACGGUCCUGGAGCAGGAGAUGCCGGUCUCGAGGUAUGAGGAGAAGGUCGCUGCUCGGGAUCUACGGGGAGCGGUCUUGAGGUCUGAGGAGAUGGCUCCGUGCGGGAAAUAAUGAUGUAGCGUUUCUUCCAUAGAAUGAUCCCAUGAAGCGCAUCUGCCAAUGUCUUUUCCCCGUCGCCUCCCGGGAAGUCGAGCUCUAGACCUUCAUACUGGGCAUCUACUAUUUGCUCGACGCAGACGCUGGCGUAGCCUGUUGGAAUGUCCAUGCCAUGACUGCUCUGCCCUGCCAGCGUUGGUAACGCACUCCCAUACGCUACCUGUACAUAUAGCAGAAGUAAACAAGUUGAACUCCGAUCUCGAGGCCUGGAUCAAUUGACAAGAUUGCAUAAAUAUUAUGUAUAAGUAUACCUUAAUAGUGAGGUUGCCGACCGGUGCAUGCAGCUCACAUGAGGUCCGUUGCGUGAUGGCAUCCACGGGGAACCGUUGCUCCUCCACGGGUAACCUGGGCGUCUGCGCAUCGGGGACCCCUGUAGAAGCACAACUGCUCCCGAGGCGUUGAGAAGGGCUGGCGGUGUGAGGAUUCGGCAGUGCUCCAGAUUGCGCCAACUCCGCAACUGCGUCGGCCACCCGCCGAUUGAUUUCAUCCAUCAUUCGUUGUUCUAGCAUCUGCCGCCAGCUCUCCUCCAUCUGUUCCUUUCUUCGCUUCCGGCUUCUGUAAGAGGCGCUGUCGCCUCGGAAAGCGAACUUCCACGGAACCACCCCGAACCCCCGGCAACGUCCUGGGUGCUCUGGAUUACCGAGGGCCAAUGUGAGCUCAUCAUUUUCUCGGUCCACCCUCAACCUCCCAGCCUUGGAAUCUUCAAUGUUCUUCAUGAGAUGUUCGGCCUUCUCACGUAUUCUGUCAUUGAAAAUCAGCGUCCCAUCCUCUUGGCUUAGGGAGCCUCCAUGAGCGUAGUACCAGUUCUUUGAUCGUUCGGGCCAUUCAAUAGUUGCAGGUAUGAUUCCCCGUUCGAUCAGAUCUUGUUCCAUCUUUCUCCACUUGGGAAUUGCUGAGCCAUACCCACCUCGCCCCAAAUGAUGGUGGUAGCCCUUCUGACUAGCAUUUGCAACGUUGGUCGUGAUCUUUUUCACACCUUCUUCACUCCUCUUGUAUUCAACAAAUGCAUCCCAGUGGUCCCUCAACUUGGGCCACGCGUUGAAGUCUGGAGUUUUGCCCUUCUUGAUGUAGUGGGUGUCCAGCAUCUUCUUGAAUGUCUGGAAUUGAGUAGCCAUCUUCUUAAGUGUCCACGCUUUGACAUCCUUCUCGCUAUAAUCUUCGGGGAAUGUGAAAUGCCUCUUCACGUCUUCCCACAGCAUAUUCUUUUCUGUCUCUGGAAGGGCGUACGGAUUAUCGCUUCUGCCCUUCCAUUCUCUGAUGCUGAUAGGCACGUUGUCCCGGACAAUUGCCCCGAUUUGACUAACGUACUUCUUUGCGACUUUCUCGGGAGCAACCGGCCUGCCCUCAUCUGUAACUUCGGUGAUGACAAGCCUCCCUUCCAUCACCUUUGUACGACCUCGGGUCUUCUGCCCUUGUGUCGAUCCGGAGGGCUAACAGUUUAAGAUUCGUUAAUUAGUACGUACUAGUAGCGGUGGCGUGAAACAAUACAAGAAUGGUUGUAUAUACCUCGCCGGAACCUUCCGCCACGGCAAGUUGUUGCUGCGGCUGUUGCUCUUCAUUCACAUCGGCAGACAUGUUGAGGAACAUGUCCGCCUGGGUGCCCUCUUCAUCCGUGUAUGAUAGUGGAACGUUGUCGCCACUAUCAUCACCAGCGAUUAUCUGCUCCAUGAUAUACCUUGCGGUCUCAUCGUCUGCCAUUUCAACUAUUGCUGCAAACAUACAUGGAAUCAUACAUGACAGUCAUAGAAAUCGUCUUAAUACAAAUUUGUAUAUAAUCACAGUUCGGAAUCAUACAUGUAUAUAAUGAAAUCAUAAAAUAACAUGAAUCGUACAAAGUCCGGAAUCUUUAUACAAAUUUCUAUGAAUUUAUACAAAUUUCUAUGAAUUUAUACAAAUUUCUAUGAAUUUCUAUGAAUUUCUAUGAAUUUCUAUGAAUUUCUAUGAAUUUCUAUGAAUUUAUACAAAUUUCUACGAAUUUCUAUGAAUUUCUAUGAAUUUCUAUGAAUUUAUACAAAUUUCUACGAAUUUCUAUGAAUUUCUACAAAUUUCUACGAUUUUCUAUGAAUUUCUACAAAUUUCUACGAAUUCCUACGAAUUUUGACGAAUUUCUACGAAUUUUGACGAAUUUCUACGAAUUUCUACGACGGCGAUAAGGGCGGCGAAGGCGGGACGGCGGCGGUCAGGGCGGCGGAGGCGGGACGGCGGCGGUCAGGGCGGCGGAGGCGGUUCACCGGAACCACGGGCGGUGCCUAAGCUACUACGUUGUGAUGGGCGGCAGGACGGCGGCGAUCACGGCGGCUACUCGGCGGCGAUCACGACGGCUACAAGGCGACUGUCACGGUAGCUACUCGGCGGGACGGCGGCGAUCACGACGGCGGGACGGUAGUUAACAACCUAACUACAAAUCUAACUUAACAAACUAACUAGAAAUCUAAAAAUCUAACUUAACAAAAUUAGAAAUCUAAAAAUCUAACUUAACAAAAUUACAAUUCCAUCUAAAAAAACAAAAUUAAAAAUUAAAAGAAAACGGCCAGCUCUCCCGGCGCACCGGCCGGCGCGGCAGACCUCUCGCGCGCGGGGCGGCGGCCGGGGCGGCGGGACGGCGGCGGCCGGGGCGGCCUGACGGCGGCGGCUGGGGCGGCGACGAGGACGAAGACGACGACGGCGGGAUGACGGCGGCCGAGGCGAAGACGACGACGGCGGCCGGCGAGGGGCGACGAGGAUGGAGCUGGCGACGAGGGGCGAUGCAGCCGGCGAGGGAGGCGGACGGGCGGCGACGGGCGGAGAGGGAGGCGGACGGGCGGCGACGGGCGAGGGAGGCGGACGGGCGACGACGACGGCGCAAUGCGGGACUUCGACGGCGCAAUGGGGGACGACGACGGCGGCGGCCGGCGAGGGAGGCGGACGGGCGGCGACGGGCGGAGAGCGCGGGACUUGCGAAAAUUUCGCUAAGUGUGGAACUGGCGGGGGGUAGAAGGGAGUACAGUGCUUUUAACCCCCCCCCCCUUUUAUCCCGGUUCGUAAUGGCACCCGGGACAAAAAGGGCCUUUUGUCCCGGGUCCUGUCACCAACCGGGACAAAAGGCCCCCCCUUUUAUCCCGGUUGGUGACGGGACCCGGGAUAAAAGGGUGCGCUCCCAGCCCCACCUGGCGGGGGCACCCUUUUAUCUCGGGUCCCGUUACCAACCGGGACAAAAGGCCCCCCCUUUUAUCCCGGUUGGUAACGGGACCCGGGACAAAAGGGUGCCCCCGCCAGGUGGGGCUGGGAGCGCACCCUUUUAUCCCGGGUCCCGUCACCAACCGGGAUAAAAGGGGGGGGCCUUUUAUCCCUGUUGCAAAUGGCAACCGGGAUAAAAGGGUACGUUCGGGCGGGAGACGAAACGUACCCUUUUAUCCCGGUUGCCGUUUGCAACCAGGAUAAAAGGGGGGCCUUUUAUCCCGGUUGCUGUUAGCACCCGGGACAAAAGGUCCUUUUUCCUAUUUUUCUUCUCCCGCCUGUUUUUUGGAAAUGGAUUUUAUUUAACCUUUUCACUGCAUUCCAGGAUGAAAAACAAAACCUUCUCAGAUUUUGUACAUGCAAAAAUAUAUUUAAUUAACGAGUAAAUUGACAAUAAGUAUGAAGUAAUCAUUAUUUCUAUACCAACUCAUAUAGCCUGUAAAAUAUUUAUUUUACUGCAUUGCUGUGAUCAAUAAAUUAUUCAAUUAAAUUUUUUGAAUGCGCAGAAAAAUCCAUGUUAGUAUGUGGUUAACAAUGUUCAUGUAUAUCUAAAAAAUCUUCACCUAACAAAUUUAAUUACAAAUUUUAUCAAUUAAUACACAAAGGUCAUGCACAUUUAACGCAUUACAAUACAACGUUGUAAAAUUUCUUCUUCACGAAAGUUCCUUGAUCAUGAUCGCGGCGUAAGUACGGAGCCUCUUCUUUGGACAGCAGGAUGCUUGGAUCAACUUCAACGUCGAAUGGAGGCAUGCCAUCAAACUGAUCAUAAUCAUCUGAUUGGUCUGUUUUAUCCUCGACUCCCACGAUUUUUCUUUUACCUAGAAGAACUAUGUGGCACUUUGGCUCCCAUGUCUCUUCUGGAUUCCUCUUGGGUUUGCUGCACAUGUCCUUCACAUAGAACACCUGAUGCACAUCAUUGGCAAGUACGAAUGGGUCAUCACUGUAUCCAGUCUUGCUCAGAUCUACUAUUGUCAUUCCGUACUGAUCUUUGGUGACGGCAGUUAGCUUCACCCAAUUGCAAAGAAAUAGAGGGAUGUACAGCGGUCCGUAUUCGAGUUCCCAUAUCUCCUGUAUGAAACCAUAAUACGACUCCUUGCUAUUAUUUCUGUCCAUGGCAUCUAUGCGGACACCACUAUUCUGGUUCGUGCUUUUCUGGUCCUGGGCUCUCGUGUAAAAUGUGUAACCAUUUAUCUCAUAGCCUUGGAAUUUGACGAUUGUGGUAGCAGGUCCCCUGGCUAACCAAGCAAGCUGUGGGUGAAUCUCAGAGUUACCCAUAAGUUGUUGGCGCAACCAGGAGGGAAAAGUUUCCAUGUGAUGACGGGUAAGCCAAGCAUCGGAUUUGGUCGGGUUUUUGGAAGCUACCAUCUGCCUGUGCUGCUCGAUAUACGGAGACACAAAGGAUGACUGUUGUAGAACAGUGUAGUGUGCCUUGUCGAACAAAUUAGUAUCAUUGCUCAAACUUGAUUUCCUUCCAAGGGUGCCCAUUCCUCGGAGCCUCCCCUCGUGGCGUGAAGUUGGAACCCCAAUCGAGUCAAUUGAAUCAAUAAAAUCAACACAAAACUCGAUCACCUCCUCUGUUCCAUAUCCCCUGGCGAUGCUUCCUUCUGGACGAGCACGAUUACGAACAUAGUUUUUUAGGACUGCCAUGAACCUCUCGAAAGGCCACAUAUUGUGCAGGUAUACAGGUCCGAGAAUACCAAUCUCUUUUACUAGGUGAACCAGUAAGUGCGUCAUAUUAUUGAAGAAGGAUGGUGGAAAUAACAACUCAAAACUGACAAGACAUUGCACCACAUCGUUCUGUAGCUUUGAUAGCUUGGAUGGAUCGAUUGCCUUCUGCGAAAUCGCAUUGAGAAACGCGCAUAGCUUUACGAGCGGCAACCGGACAUUUUCGGGUAGAACACCCCUCAGUGCAACCGGAAGCAACUGGGUCAUCAACAUGUGGCAGUCAUGAGCCUUGAGAUUUGUAAACUUCUUUUGUUUCAUAUUUAUUAUUCCCUUUAUAUUCGAGGAGUACCCAGACGGGACCUUCAUACUAUUCAAGCAUUCAAACAUACUAUCCUUCUCCUCCUUGCUGAGAGUGUAACUGGCAGGACGUAAGUAGUGCUGUCCAUUAUCUCUCUUUUCCGGAUGUAGGUCAUCUCGUUGCCCCAUGGCUUUCAGGUCCUGUCUUGCUUCCAAUGUAUCUUUUGAGGUUCCAUAAACACCCAUGAAGCCUAGCACGUUCACGCAAAGAUUCUUCGUCAGGUGCAUCACGUCUAUUGCGUUGCGAACCUCUAGGAUUUCCCAAUAAGGUAGCUCCCAAAAUAUUGACUUUUUCUUCCACAUGGGUGCAUGUCCGUUAUCAUCGUUCGGAAUAGGUUGGCUACCAAGUCCCUUUCCAAAGACUACAUGUACAUCCUUCAUCAUCUCGAACACACGCUUUCCAUUACGGUGUGCAGGUUUUUUACGAUGGUCUGGCGUCCCUUUGAAAUGCAUCCCGCUCUUUCUCAGCUGGUGGUGAGCAGGGAGAAAUCGACGAUGACCCAUAUAGACGACCUUCUUACAGUGCUUCAAGUACAUGCUAUCUGUGUCAUCUAAACAGUGGGUGCAUGCCCGAUAUCCCUUAUUUGUCUAUCCUGAAAGGUUACUCAAUGCAGGCCAAUCGUUGAUGGUUACGAACAACAGUGCUCGUAGAUUAAAGAUCUCUUGUCUAUCCUCAUCCCACACACGUACACCUUCUUCCUUCCAGAGCUGUAAAAGGUCAUCAACCAACGGCCUUAGGUACACGUCAAUGUCGUUGCCGGGUUGUUUUAGGCCUUGGAUAAGCGCCGGCAUCAUAAUGAACUUCCGCUUCAUGCACAGCCAAGGAGGAAGGUUGAACAUACAAAGGGUCACAGGCCAAGUACUAUGACCACUACUCAACUCACCGAAUGGAUUGAAUCCAUCAGUGCUUAAACCAAACCUUAUGUUCCUUGCUUCACUUUCAAAGUCUGGGAAUGUUCUAUCAAUUGAUCUCCACUGUGCCCCAUCUGCGGGGUGUCUCAGCAUCUCAUCUUCCUUACGGUCUUCUUUGUGCCAUCGCAUCAACUUAGCAUUCGCCUUGUUCCUGAACAAGCGCUUCAAGCGUGGUAUUAUAGGGAAAUACCACAUCACCUUCACGGGAACUCUCUUCUUGGGAGACUGCCCCUCGACAUCACCAGGAUCAUCUCGCCUGAUCUUAUACCGCAGGGCUUCGCAGACGGGACAAGCAUCCAAUUCCUCGUAUUCAUCACCACGAUAGAGGAUACAGUCAUUAGGGCAUGCGUGUAUCUUCUGAACAUCCAAUCCGAGAGGGCAAAUAAUCUGUUUAGCUUCAUAUGUUGUGGACGGUAAUUCAUUAUUCUCGGGGAGAAUCUUCUUGACAAUUCUCAACAUCCCCUGAAAUGCCUUAUCGGACACACCAUUUUUUGCCUUCCAUUGCACAAAUUCUAGUGUCGUACCUAGUUUUUUAUGGCCCUGCUGGCAACCUGGGUACAACAAUUUUUGGUGAUCAUCUAUCAUGCGCUGCAACUUUGCUGCUUCCUUCUCAGUUUCGCAAUCUCUGUAUGCAUCUCGUAUCACCUGACCAAGGUCAUCAGUAGGGUCAUUUUCUGCAAACUCAUCUUCAUCAGCCUCGCCCAUUGUAGUACCUGCAAAAGCUUGGCCUGCAACCCAGUCCGGAAUGGUGUCAUCUUCCUCCUCCUCCUCGCCAUCUUCCAUUACAACCCCUAGUUCACCGUGCUUGGUCCAAACCAAAUAGUUAGGCAUGAAACCGUAUUUAAACAAGUGGCUGUGAAUAGUCCCCCAGGAAUUCUUUGAAUACUCCUUCCUGUUAUUGCAUUGGAAGCAUGGACAACAUACGAACCCAUUCUCUGGCUUGUUCGCUUUUGCCACUUCGAGAAAAUAAUGCAAGCCAUCAAUAAACACCUUGCUCCGCCUGUCUGCAUUAUACAUCCAAUGCCGGUCCAUCUGCAUCGUAUUACGCACGAAAAUGGAUUACACUUGACAAUGGAUUACGCGUGAAAAUCGAUUAAAGAUCCAAACAACAUGGUACAAUACAACAACAUGAAGAUCCAAAUACACAUAUUUAAAUUAAAGUCCCAAACACUGCAUAAGUUGUUCAACUUGAAGACCGUGAUCAUCUCGUGAGGAUGUCCUCAACUGGGCGGCACCGCACUUCGUCAUUAAAGAGGUUAGAUGCUACGGAAAAGGGGACACGGUCACAAUGUCCGUAUCCACUCUUUCUCGUAGAAUCGAACCUCCUUCUUGACAUACGUUGCUGCUCGGCGGAGAACAUCCUCGGCGAGAUGAACACGGUAUGCAAGUUCAACAAGUAGCAGAAGUCAUCUAUGUACAAAAAUUCUUUCCUUACCACUACAGAAGUUGUUGAACUUGAAGACCGUGUUCAUUUCGCGAGGAUGUCCUCAGCUAGGCGGCACCGCACUUCGUCAUGAAAGAGGUUAGAUGCUACGGAAAAGGGGACACGGUCACGAUGUCCGUAUCCACUCUUUCUCGUAGAAUCGAACCUCCUUCUUGACAUACGUUGCUGCUCGGCGGAGAACAUUCUCGCCGAAAUGAACACGGUAUGCAAGUUCAACAAGUAUAUGGAUUUAAAAAACCAUAUUGAAUUUGAUAAGAUAAACCGUCUAGACAAGGUAGCAUCAUUUUUAAACCACUGAAAUAAUGCAUACUAUAUAUGACACAUCAAUCUCCCUCACAUUCUAGCUCAAAAUACCUCUCCAUUUUUCUACUUCAUCAUCACAUUGUAGCAAAUAAUCUUUCCAUCUCCAAAGCAUAAAUCAAAGCAUAACACGAGGAUGAAGUAGCAAACCUUCGCAGCACUUGUUGGCUGAGUCAAAUUCCCACGAAAAUGAGGGAAAAAAGUUCGGGCAGCACCUCCCUUGCUUGGGCACCACCGGAGAGUAGGUGAAGCUCAGCUCUCUAUCAAUGUGCUGGACUGCUCGGGCUGGAGGAAGAAGAAAGUCUCUGUCUCGGGGUAUAGUGGGGGAUGAGUUUUAAUCCCGGUUAAAAACUCCAACCGAGACAAAAGGAAACACCUUUUGUCCCGGUUGGAAAGUUAGUCCCGGUUGGAGGAUCCAACCGGGAUAAAAGGGACACCCUUUUAUCCCGGUUGGAGGCACCAACCGGGACUAACCCUUUUAUCCCGGUUGGUGCCUCCAACCGGGAUAAAAGGGUGUCCCUUUUAUCCCGGUUGGAUCCUCCAACCGGGAUAAAAGGGUCCCGCCACCGACGGCCCCCGCUAGCCGUUGCAACCGGGACUAAAGGGGGGCCUUUAGUCCCGGUUGCAAUUACCAACCGGGACUAAUGCUCCCCUCCAAAUUCCCGCACCCCGGCGCACCCCCUUUUGUCCCGGGCCACUUUUAAACCGGGAUAAAAGGGGGUUGAUCGAAAGUCAGUUCUCUACUAGUGAUCGGUGACUCCGCUCGAGGAGAAUUGUUUAUAUCAAGCAUAGAAAUGACAACGUUGGAAGUGGAGGAUAUAUUUUGCUCUGUUGAUUUAAUUGCCGCGAGAGUGGCGGACAAGUUCUAAUGAUUGAAGAUCAGAAGCGUCUCGUGGAGAAUUUUUCAGAAGCUAUAUUUGGAAUUAUUAUAUUAUCUCAGGAGCAGAUUAAAUAUAACGCCACCACUGAAAGCCGAUGAGAUGUAUCUAUCGGCUACAUGCUAUUCAGAUGAAUUUGAUGACAGAUUAAUUACGGAGGAGACCGACCGAUACAACAUUAUGGUUUCUUACUGCUGAUCUGUUAUGAAAGAGGAUGUGAGAAGCUGAUAAUCAAGCAACAAUAAAAUGAUAUACACGCAGGGCAUUAAAUAUUGAGUUAAUGAUUGGGAGUACUACCAUUAUCUUAUGAAAAGUCCAUCGGCUAACCAAACAGCGUCAGCCGAUGGAAGCAAAUAGUGUCAGCCGAUAGAAUGAUGUUAUAUAAGUAUAUAUAUCGGCCUCCGAGCCAAUGGGAAGUAGGAACUAUCAGCCGAUGCACACAUCCAUGGACAUAGCCGAUAAGACAUUGUAUCGGCUGCUUGGCAAAUAAAAAUAGCAUCGGCUGACCGCUUGUUAAAAUAUUAUCGGCCGAUUGCUUGGCAAAAUAGUAUUGGCUGACUGCUUGGCAAAUAAAAAAAUAAUAGGUUGACCAAAAAAGGAUAGCAUUGCCUGAUUGCUUGGCAAAUAAAAAAAAUUACGUCGGCUGAUUGGUUCCAGCAAAAUAGUAUCGGCUGCUUGUUGAUCAGAAAAAGCCGAUACUGUUACAGCUCCCGCAACUGUGCUUUGCUGUCAUCGGCUGGGUUGUUCGUGCUCCAUCUGCAAAUAUUUGUCCCGGCUAGAAAGUAUCGUACGUGCAUUGGGAUUCGGCAGUACAAAUCACGUACACGCGUAUGGUCUGCUCAGAAGCUGUCUGUUCGACGAAGUUCCAGGCCAAUGGUGGAGACUUGAUGACCAUGGUGACCUGCAUUAAUCAACAUGAAGUAUGUAUCGGCUGUUCGGUGAUUGGUAGCAAAUCAGCUUUCUCAUAGCCGGUGACAUAUGGGGCAAGAAAUAUCAGGCUUAAAAAAGGACAGUACGAUCAAUGUCGAAAGUUGUAGCCGACGGUUCUAUUAUUGUGCAGUCGAUGGAACAUAGAAGAUGCAUCUGAAUGAGCAAAAGGAAGGGAGCCGAUAGAAGGGAAUUUAAGUUGCAUGAGAUCCAAUUAAAUUAAGAUGACGAGAGGUGUUGACAUCGAAUCAUCGGACUUCUACGAAGUCUUCAUACUCCGAAACUAGGGAGUCUGUGUUAACACCAAAAUUUAGAAAUAUGCUGAUGCAAAAAAAUAAUGAAAUCUCCUAAAUAAGGCUCAAGAAAGAAAAAGCAAGAAAAGAAAAUCAAUCGCACGCGGCAAGAAUUGAAUAAAAUAUUCUAGAGGUAGAGUUGGUUAGGAUAAGCUUAAUUAGGGAUAGAGUUGGAUUAGUUAGAGAUAGUAUUUUGAUUAGAAAAGAUUGUGUACAUGACUUGUACGUGGUGCGUCAGAGGCCAUCCGCCCUAUAAAUAUAAGGGGUCGUGGCCAUUGUAAUUAUCAUCACACGAUCAAUAUACAACAUAUUUAUCUUUUACCUUUUCGGCUUCACGCCAUUGUAUUAGGAGUAGGAGUAAUGUAGCUUCCUGACGAGUUCCUUCUAGCAAGCUGUGCUGCAUUGACCUUGAUCUCUGGCGAGCUGCAAAGUUCCGUCACCAGGUGUUCUAGGCUUUAACCACCGGGCGCAUCGCUUGUGGUUUCGUCUAGUUUCAUCUACAAGGUAUCGAAUAUCAUGGAUCUUUAACUUACGCAUCGCUUCUGUCUUGAUCUACGGUAUUCACCAGUUAUCCUGCCUUGGUUAAGUCUGCAUCGGCUGAUAUUUAUCUGUUCUAUCAUCUUGCCGUUCAGUUUGCUUUAAUUAGCUUUAGAUCGGUUCAUUAUAGAUGAUAGAUCGCUUAAUAGCCUGUUGCAUCUUAAUCUUGGUUACCCCUUCAAGUGCUGUUGGGAUUAAGUUUCGUUAUGAUUGGAUUCAUCGGCUGGUGGGGUUGGUGGGGUUCAGAUUAACAUCGUGCUAAAUAUUUCUAGACUGCAACUACUGGACGCAUCGCUGUGGUUUCAUCUAGAGAUAUUGGUAGAGAGUUUAGUUUAGAUCUCAUCGGUUCGUGGCUCUAGCUAUGGUGGAGCGGCAGCUGAAUAGCAUCCUGUUUUCUAUCGGUCGCCUGGCCGAUAGUUAUUGCAAAAUAUAUUAAAUCGCCUGGAUGGCCGAUGGAUCACUCACGCUCGUCAAGGAUCAUAUCGGCCUGAUCGGCCAGUUGCCUCGGACUUCAAAGGAUUAUUUUCACCUUGUCAGUUGAAUGGUCAAACUGGCUGGCACGCCCGCGCACACCAUGCGCGCCGAUUUGGAUUUUGCACUGGAGUUAAGUAGAUCUUCCAGGUCCUCAUGUGGUGACGAAGGAUCCACCACCAUCAGGAUUUUGCGUCAACACAUUUUGGCACGCCCAGUGGGACACGGUUAUAAGGUUCAUAUUUUUAUUCAUAUAAAAAAGCAUCUUCGGCAUCAUCGGCCAAAUGAGUGUUCAUCGGCUUGUUAGAAUUAAUUCAAUAUAAUAUUUCAGCAAAAGCAGCCGAUGUAGCGAUUGGAGAUAAGGCCAAGUCAAGUCUGCGUGUAUACGCAUGUUCCGGUGGGAUCAUCUUCAUAAAUGCCAAUGACGAUUAGAGAUGAAGCUUCCUGCAAAAUGAUUGGCUACUCUAUCCGGGAAGAAUUGCUUUUUUAUGAGGCAUAUAUAGAGACCCAUGUUGCAAUUAGGGGGCGUAUUCGUGCAUUGGCUGAAAUAAAAAAAUGCAUCGGCAUAUUGAAAAUUGCAUCGGCCGAUUGACAGUCGUAUCAGCUGAUUGGAAAAAUAAAAAGGGAUCAGGGAUCCGCCGAUUGAAAAUUGCAUCAGCUGAUGGAAAAUGAGAGCAACAGUUACAAUAUUUUUUUUAAAAGAAAGCAAGUAUCGGCAAGCAGUAGCCGAUGGAUUUGUAUUUCAGCCAAUGGGGUUUUUGUUUCAGCUGAUAGUACUACUGGCUGAUGGCAAGUCCAAUGGAGUUAAAAUUGCAUUGACUGAUUGAAAUAAAAAUUAAGUAUCGGCUAAUUUAUGGCCAAGUAGCAUCUGCUGAUUUGUUGCAAAGUAGUUUCGGCUGAUUUAUGGCAAAAUAGAAUCGGCCGAUUUAUGGCAAAGAAGCCAAUAGACAAAAGCAUCGGCUGGUAGAGAAGCCGAUUGAGCAAGCAUCUGUUGAUGAGCUAUGUAUGGGAAAAAGUAUUGGCUGCUUAAACAAUUGACAAAAGCCAAUUGGUCAGACUGAGAAGCCAACUGGGAAAGCAUCGAUCGAUGGAUUGCGUAUGGGAGAGAGUAUCGGUUGAAGUCUUUAGUAUUGACUGCUAGAUAUUUGAGCAAGCGUCGGCCGAUUGACUGCUUGGUAAAAAAAACAUCGGGCUGAUUGCUUGGUUAAUAAAAAAAUUGCAUCGUUCAAGCAAAGAUUGCAUGGGCUGAUUGGUUCAAGCAGAAUAGUAUCGGUUGCUUAUAGAAUAUAUCGGAUAUUAAUUUCGAAGCAUGAAAAUAUUCAUACUCCGAAACUGGGGGGCCUGUGUUGACAACAAAAGCUUGCUGGUUACUGCAUCAAGUUUUGGUGUCAACAUACUUGAUCUUUUGUUUCCAUUGCCAGCGGAUUCAUCGGCUCAGAGUGGGAUCAAGACAUCAAGCUGAUGGAGUUCUUUAUAUUUCAAGAGGAGUCAUGGAGUUCUUUAUAUUUCAAGAGUAGUCGAUGGUGCUUUGAAUAUUGCAACCAGACGUCAUUGGCUCUAAAGAUACCGAAUCAUCGGACUUCUAUGAUCAGUUUCGGAACAUGAAGCCUUCAUACUACGAAACUGGGGGCCUGUGUUGACACCGAAUCAUCGGACUUCUAUAAUUAGUUUUGGAACAUGAAGCCUUCAUACUUCGAAACUGGGGGGCCUAUGUUAACACCAAAAUUUAGAAAUGUGCUCUGAAAGGAAGGUAUCGGCCGAUGAUGCAAAAAAAUAAUGAAAUCUCCUAAAUAAGGCUGAAGAAAGAAAAGCAAGAAAAGGAAAUCAACGCACACGGCAAGAAUUGAAUAAAAUAUUCUGGAGAUAGAGUUGGUUAGGAUAAGCUUGAUUAGAGAUAGAGUUGGAUUAUUUAGAGAUAGUAUUUUGAUUAGAAAAAAUUGUGUACAUGACUUGCCUUGUACGUGGUGCGUCAGAGGCCAUCCGCCCUAUAAAUAUAAGGGGUCGUGGCCAUUGUAAUUAUCAUCACACGAUCAAUAUACAACAUAUUUAUCUUUUACCUUUUCGGCUUCACGCCAUUGCAUUAGGAGUAGGAGUAAUGUAGCUUCUCGACGAGUUCCUUCUAGCAAGCUGGGCUGCAUCGACUUCGAUCUUCGGUGAGCUGCAAGUUCCGUCACCAGGUGUUCUAGGCUUUAACCACUGGGCGCAUCGCUGUGGUUUCGUCUAGUUUCUUCUACCAGUUACCGAGUAUCUUGGAUCUUUGACUUAUGGCACAUCGCUUCUGUCUCGAUCUACGGUAUUCACCAGUUAUCCCGCCUUGAUUAAGCUUGCAUCGGCUGAUAUGUAUCUGUUCUUUCAUCUUGCCGUUCAAUUUGCUUUAGUUAGCUUUAGAUCGGUUCAUCAUAGACAAUAGAUCAUUUAAUAGCAUGUUGCAUCUUGAUCUUAGCUAUCCUUCGAGUGUUGUUGGGAGUAAGUUCCGUUGUGAUUGGAUCCAUCAGCUAGCAGGGUUUAGAUUAACAUCCUGCUAAAUAUUUCUAGACUGCAACUACCGGGCACAUUGUUGUGGUUUCACCUAGAGAUAUUGGUGGUGACGUUAGUUUAGAUCUCAUCGGCUUGUGGCUCUAGCUAUGGCGGGGCAACAACUCAACAACAUCCUGUUUUCAAUCGACCGUCUAACUGAUAGCUAUUGUAAAUUAUAUUAAAUCGGCUGGAUGACGAUGAAUCACUCACAUUCAUCAAGGUACUGGAAUCGGCUUCACAGCCGAUAUAUUUGUCAUGAUUUAUUUUGUUGCACCAUUAUCGCUACUGUGCUAGGAUUAUAUCGGCCUAAUCGGCCAGUUUCCUCGGACUUCACAACGACUAUCAUCUCCUUGUCAGUUGAAUGGUCAAACUGACUGGCAUGCCCGCGCACACCACACGUGCCGAUUUGGAUUCUGCACUGGAAUUAAGCAGAUCUCCCAGGUUCUCAUGUGCUGAUGCAGGGUCCACCACCGCCAGGAUUUUGUGUCAACACCUUGUAAUCUUCCUUUGAUUUCCUCAAUGAUUCGAAGACAAUAACCUUGCUUGUAUAAAUGAUAAUUAUAAGGAGAACCUAGUGGAAACUGUGUAUUCAUAUUAGAACUACCUAUGGUUAAUUAGGUUAGGAAAGGAAAUCGAAAAUAGACCGUACCCACACUUACUUAAAGUUGUUGGGCAGUAGUAUGUAAUGCUUGUAAUUCUGUUACUCCAAGAAUUUGUAUAUGUGGUCCAAUGUAGACUUUGGUUGAUCCCAUAUCUGUUGUUGGUUAAAUAAGUGUUUCUGGCCAUUUCUAGCCGUUAGAACCGGAACUAAAGGGGGCUCUUUAGUACGGGUUGAUAUUACUAACCGGGACUGAAGAGCCCCCAUUACAGUUGGUUUUUGGACGCGGAACUAACAACUCCUUUAGUCCCGAGUCCAAAAACGACUGAGAUAGAAGAUCCUUUCUCUACCGUGAAUAUUGCCAGAAAGAAUUGAAAGAGACCGCUUGCUAAAAAUAUGUCAUAGAUGUAGACCAAGCUACCAAGGAGGUAGACCAAACAUGAUACACACCAUGCGUACCUUGCUGUGCAGACUAUGCAUAGACAAGACACCCGACCACAUGUUGGCCUCGGUCACAUCAAAAGAAUCAUGUAGGCCACCAAUAAACUACUUGAAGCGUCAUUCCGUAUCGUAUAUGCAUUGCCGGUUCAUCUGCAUUACAUUACAUAAAGUAGUAUUAACUAUUUGAAUAAAAUGAACCAAUUUAAAAGUAAUGUGUUGUACUCUACUAUAGAAAGCCCUAUCACUGUCGGAUCCAGAAACAUCAUUGUUGAUGGUCGUUAAGUACCAAGACGGUCAAUAUUCUCAAGAAUAAUGGAGAAUUGGCAUUUCUUACACACAUAUUUGGUUUUGAACAAUGUAGUCCCACAUGUCCUUGGAGAUUAUUUGGGUGUGGGUGAAAUAAUACAAAAAGAAGGAGAAAACACACUCCCAUGGUGAAGAAACAAAACUCCGACCAAUGAGAGAUAGCCACAGGGGCAGCACACGGAUCCAUGGGCCCACAAACCGCAUCAAACUGUCUUACCAAGGCGGGUAGCACCCACAACCAUGAUUAGGACCCACCUGGAUGUCUACCAAGAAGAAGGUUGUGAGUGGGGCCAGGAGGGGUUCGGCUGAAUCAUCUCUAGCUCCCCUCAUCCCCAGCUGGUGCAUGGCGGUGGUUAAUGGUGUCCCUACAUCGGUUAGAGGAGAUUCCCCCAAAUAUUCCUCCUGUAAACCACCUGUAUGGACCUAUACAUAGAGGGGUGUGCUCUCCAAUCCAACACACACCACAAGUUUAAUCACUCUCUCCCUCUUUAAUUUCCAUGUUUAUGGAGUUAGCCUAGAGUAGCUCUGCUCAAGGUUCCAAGUCCACUUGGAGUUAAGCAUAUGUCUCUUGUAUCGUUAUUUCCCAGAUUGACUUUAUGCUUAGUUCUUAUAUGCAUGAGUUAGUCUAAUAGCCUUGCUCUAUUGAUAUGCUCGGCUUAUAUGCUCGUAUGCUAGUCAUAUACCCUUGCUGCCGUAGUAUAGGCUUAUAUGCUCUCAUGUGUGCCUUUAGACCUUGCUACAAUAUAUACUUGUUGUGUAUACAUACCAUGUAUAGGCUAGUCGAUCUAUACCAUGGCAUUGGUUCAAUAGCCAUGUUUUUGGUGGCUCCAACCCUAGUCAGAAUAGCUCGGGACAGCUAGAGUGUUGUUAAAAAUGCAAGAGUGAUGGUUGGGUUGUUUAGCAUCGUUGGAUAUGGGUUUUCCCCACGGGUUUCUAAGAGUAGGCGGCAGCUAGUGACAGCCCUGUCCGUCCUUCGUAAUCCCCCCACAUUCAAGUACGCCAUAGAAGUUCAUAAAUUAGCAGUAACUACACCGGCAGACCGGUAGGGUAUUGUCUCCCUAUAGUACCUUGGUGCAUAGAACUAGGUCAUAUACACUGUGUGUCUAUGUUUACGCUGAUAUGAUCUGUGCAGUAUAUAGCAUGUAUAUAUGAACCUAGAGCUAACUCCUAGUCCAUUCUCCGUAGCUUAGUUAUCUUGAGAUGAUUCUUCUGUGUGUGUAACACUACCCAUCUUAUCAUUAUCCUUAAUCCUGUCUUGUGUAAUAUAUCUACUCAUCCUAUGAUAUACUCAUAUGCAUAGUAAACUAUUUUGACCUACCCGCCUUCCUUUGGGAAAUACGAUACCCUGGAAUAAUCCUAGGUGAAAUGCUACAACGGUAUAUCCAUGUGCUUACGGAAUUAUUCCUGACCAUUAAAUAUACCAACAAUCAUCACUAUCUAUUUUGGGCAUCGUUAGUGAAGGGUCGGCAGUGAUGGGCAUCCCCUUCACCAAUGGAGCUGGAACUGGCGGUGAUGGCCAUUAAAAAAAAUGGGACCCCACCCAGCGUACCCCGCAACCCGGCCGGCUGCGCCUCCCAUCAUCCCCGCCGGUCGCCCUUCCUCUUUGCCGGCCGAGCAUGGUUCCGGCCCUCGUCCCUACCGCCUCGCCUCCAUCGCGACCCCCUGCCGAUGCCCUCAUGCCUGGCCCCCCUCGUCUGGCCGGCCACCCUCCCGAUGCAUCCACCGGGGCCCUCGCACCACCAACCACCCUAGCCUAGAGAGAGAGAGGAGGAGGGAGGUGAGGCCACGCACCUCGUCCUACAACGCCGCUGUUGCUCCUCGGCCCACCGCGCCUCACCCCACACCACAGCCGCACCUCGCCAUCUUACCGGCCGCGACGCCCCAUCUCACCGGCCACCGUUCCUCACCCCCACAUCGGUCAUCGCUGCUCCUUGCCCUACUGCUGCUCUUUGCAGCCGCGAAUGAGGGGCGAGUGGAGGGGGAGGGGCGGGGCAGGAGGAGGGCAAGAUCCGGGAGGAAGGGAGAGAUUUUGGGAGGUGGAGAUGGAAGGAUAUGGCGGAAGGUAGAGAUCUAGAGGGAGAGAGCGGGGGGGAGAGGGGGGCAUGUGGGGAGAGAGCGCAUGUGGGGUGGGGCCGGGCUGGUGGGAUGGAAGGUAGAGGGGCCGGAGGGCGCAGUGCAUUCAACUGGAUUAAGUAAAUAUUUCGGAUUCGAGACCCCAGCUUUAUUAUCACCGCUGGUCCGUAGUACCAUUCGGUGCCGGCUCAUAAUUUAAUUUGAACCGGUGGUGAUGUUUUAUUAUCACUGCUGGUUUCAAUUUUCACCAUCGGAUCAUAUAAAAAUCCGGCGGUUAAAAAUCCGCUGGUUUCGAUGAAAACCGACAGUGAUAGGACGACUGUGAUAGUCUCUUCUCUAGUAGUAGUAUAUUAGUACCGGCUGCCGGAUGGUGUUGCCGACGAGUACUUCUCCAGGGGCGAUUCAGUACUGAUGUUAGCAAAGCUUGUUCUCUAUGAAUUUGGGGAUGGAAAGCUAGUUCUCUAGUUGUGAUUUGUUACAUAUAUCUCUAUGAUAGUCUAGAAAUUGCAUGUCCUUCGUUGACAUAGUUGAAGCUGCUUCAAGAAUUUACUUCGUGCAGUCGUGCAGCAUAUUGGAUUAUCACCUAGACAGGAUACAUAGGUGAAGCAUUGCAUGUGAUUGUGGCUGAUAAUUAUGCAGGACGCUGUUGCAAUCAACCAUCAAGAAGACUGGAGCGAUGGGGUUGCCUCAUCAACAAUUUUUAUAUAUGGCUGCAGUAUUAUUAAGCCCACGUCAAUAAUUUUUUCUCCGCAGCAUAUAUAUGGUUACUCAGUUCGCUGGAGUAUCGCUGUGGAAAAACAUACGUACUGCGCCUCGGAACUAACUGGCAUUCAGGCCAUCAACGACCAGAUAUUUGGGACAACCAACAAAUAGUAGGUGGUUCCUAAGUUGUAGUCGUAUGUACUAAUGCGCCUCGAUGGGGUUUUCUUCAGAUAUUUUAUUGCCGUUCAAUGAACAAGCAGAUACAUAACCUGUGCAGAAAAUUCCAUCUCCACGCAUGCCACUGCACCAACAAGAUCCUCAGUCGACGAUGAUGGCUCAGCCUGUUCCUUCUGCCACCAAAUCCUCAAUCUUCCCUCCAGCAACGGAGAAUGCACCUUUAGUACCUUCAGUAUCAGAUGUUGCAAUCGGUACCGUGAAACCGAGACUAAAAUCCUUACUUUGCAGGGGGCAAAACAAUCUUGCAAAUAUAUAUUUUGAAUUCCAACAAAAUUUAAGAAAUGUUAAAGAUGACUAGCUGAGAGUCAACAGACAAGAUAUGAUAUUAGGAAUGUGGGAGGAUGAAUGCAUUUGUACAGGGGUCAUACUAUUUCCAGACUCUUCUAUAUUUCCAUAUGACUACCUACUUCAAUGUCACGCGAGCCAUUCAAAAAGAUACAUGGUACACUUGUAUGUCUAAUCCAUUAUUGAUUAUUUCCUCUUGUCAUCUCUUACAAGUAUUUCUCCAUACUAUAGAAACGUGCAACACAUUUUUAGGAUAUGGACACGCAUGAUUAAUAUGCUUGGACUAGUAUACAGGUCAUCUUUGGAUGAGUACAUAUGAAUGCCAGGGAGGGACUGAUGGAUAUAAGGAAAAGGGACCAUGCAUAAAUAAUGACAUAUGUAACAUGGCAAUCUUCAUUGCCAUGCAACUCCUAUCAACAAUCAUGGAAUACAUACUACUGCUCCAGAAGGGUGGUGUGCAAAUUUAUUUUACCUCGCGGUGAAAAUCUCCAGAGCAGGCCUGAAGUUAAAAUAAGAGGCAGUCACUAUCGAUCAUGACAGUCUCGAAACUGUACAGCACUAUGCUAGUCCUAGUCCUCAUGUCGUUCGUGCUGUCGUGUAGCAUGAUGGAUUAUUAACUGGGCAGGACACGGAGAUGGCUAGCGAUGACAGAGGAUGACGUACAUGAUAUUCACCUCUGAAAUGAAGCGUAGGCUAAUGAAGCACAAUUGCAUGUGAGUGUGGCAGAUAUUUAUACAGGACAGUGAUUGCAAUAAUCGACCAUCGAGAUCGAAGACAGGGGCGAUGGGGUUGCCUCAUCAAUAAUUCGCGCAACCAGACAAGCUGCAGACUCAAUAUGGUACGAAGCUAUUUGGUCAGCCCACAUGCUCUGAUAUAACAUUGGCAUCUGCUGAUCUACAGUAUAUAUGACCAGAAAUAUUGUGCCACCUCAAUAAUUUUCCGAAGUAUCGUUGGGGAAGCACCUACAUACUAUGCCUCGGAACUAACUGACAUGUUGGCCUAGGCGGUCCAGGCCGAUUGGACAGGCUCUUCCUUAUGGCUCCUCACGUCCCCUUCGUUUCCGAGUAAUCUCAGGUGUUCUGAAGUUUUCUUUUCACUUGCAUGUGGACCUUAUAUAUCAAUAGCUUCGGGAUAAGAAUGCCUCUUGAUAACCUUCCAAAUCGUCGCUUGAUUCACUUUGAUUCCAAAAUCAUCUUGCCAUAUCUUUUGAGACUUAGGCCCUAAGGCAUCAUGGAGGAUUGCUCGCCAAGAAUGAGCACCAUUGGGCUCCUGAGGACCCUAGGCCGAUCAGCCUGGGCUCUAUAGGUUGAUUGGCCCAGGCCCUCUCUGGGCCCAUUGGCCUUCAUCUUUCUCUGAGUCGACGCUUAUUGAGGGCUUUGUCCAAUUAUAGUCCAUUAUAGUCUAAUUUCCAAAAAAAUAGAAUAUCCUCCAAAAUACAAUACAUUUGUGAAAACAGCCCAAUUAUUAGGUAUGAUCAAUAGUCUAGGUAUUAAAUUAAUGUUAUUAUUUAAGAUAAAUAGGGAUAAAGGGUGUCAUUAAUAACGAGCACCAACCAGCGUACCAGCUGUUAACACUAACCGAUGCUAAUAUGUACCCUUUAGUACCGGCUAUUUCACCCGGUACUAAACGAGACAAGAGCACCCUAACAGAGGUUAAUACCAUCCAUUUCAUGAGUAAAAUACUAUGAUUCAAAAAUAAUUCAAAUCCCUUAAGACAAUACCUAUCAAAUGAGUAGAUUGUAAAUAGAGUAAAACAAUGUCCUAAUGAAACGGAACACUUCUGGUUCGUGUAGAGCACAAUAUAGAAAACAGUAGGGUAGCUGUACGAUUGACACGUGGUCCAUUAAUUAUUGAGCCAUCACUAUGGACAUGUCUUCAUGAGUAGUGUACUAGUCAUGACACAUGGUAUGUAGUAGGUGGAGGUAUUGAGUUAGCCAUGCCAUGAGCACUUAGUUACAACAAACACUUUGCCAUUAUCGAGCAUCCCAAAUCACUACAAAAUCCAUAGUUUACCAUAUACUACAAAAUCUGAGUUAAAAUAAGAGCAUACACGGAAGAGUCCGAAUGCACCGGUUUAGGACCAGGCACAUUGAAUUACUAGAAAAAGUUAUCGGACAAGGUUUUGGGUAACCGCAUGAAAAAUGUUGGAUUUUACUGAACACUUAGUUACAAUUACCAUGCCGUGAGCACUUAGUCACCACAAACAUUUAACCACUUUAGAUCAUCCUGAAUCCCUAUAAAUUCUGUACCUUACACCGUACCAUGAAAACGACAAGAACAGAGACAGAUGCAGUGAAAAUCUCCAGAGCAGGCCUGAAAUUAAAAUAAGAGGAGGCAGUCUCUAUCGAUCAGGACACGGAGAUUGCUAGCCAUGACAGAGGAAGACAUGAUAUGAUAUUCACCUCUGAAAUGCAGCGUAGACUAAUGAAGCACAAUUGCAUGUGAGUGUGGCAGAUAAUGGACCAUCGAGACCAUCGAAUGGUAUGAAGCAUGAUUAUCACCUAGACAUGAUAUCCUAGACAGGACGGUGAAUUGUAAAAAGAGUAAUCUUGAUCAAAGAAUGUCCUAAUGAAACGGAACAUUUUUGGUACGUGUAGAGCACAAUAUAGAAAACAGUAGAGUAGUUGUACGAUUGAAACUGCAUCCAUCCACGUGGUCCAUGAAUUGUUGAGCCAACACUGUGGACAUGUCUUCAUGAACACCAUCUAGUGAGGACAGGAUGCAGAAAAAUAUAAAAACAUGUCAUAGGGAGGCAGACCAAUCUUGCAAGGAGGUAAACGAAACGUGAUACACGAUCUGCCUACCUUGUCGUGGAUACCCCAAGAGAAGAUGUCAUAGAGGUGCAGACCAAGCUAGCAAGGAGGUAGAUGAAACGUGAUACACGGCCUGCCUACCUUGCCGUGGAUAUUAGCCCUGAUAUCAUUCUAUUGUUCAAGGAAUAACACUCAAUGCUGCUGCUGCUGCUGACCUGGCUCCAUAAAGUUGUAUUCCUCUAGCCGCUUGCACUAACUUUAUCUGAAGUAUUAUUCUCUCUGCCCUGAUAUCUGAAGUAUUAUUCUCUCUGCUGACUUUGCUGAAGAACCUACAUAAUAUGUCUUGGAACUAACUGACAUUGAUUCACAGACAAACUCUACAAGGUGCUGUUGUUGCCAUAUUUUAGAGCAUCCCAAAGGACUAUAAAUAAUAUAGUUUACCAUAUACCGUAUACCAUUAUAUGUUAGCUAAAAUAAGAGCAUAACAUGUCGCAGGAGUCCAAAAGCACCGGUUGAGGACCAGGUACAUUGAAUUACUAGAAAAAGACAGGGGGCAAUGUUUAGGUAGCCACAUGAAAAACAUUUGAAUUUACUGUUCCAUGAACACUUAGUUACCAUGCCGGGAGCACCUAGUUAACACUAAAAUUUAGCCACUUUAGAUCAUCCCGAAACACCCUCAAUAGCGACAAAUUUUGAUUUAAAUGCCGUCACCAAUGAUCCUCAAUAGCGACGUGUUUAGGUUUAAAUCCCGUCACUAAUAACCCUUGGUAGUGACGUGUUUUGGUUUAAAUCUCAUCCCACUGAUCCUCAAUAGUGACGUGUUUUUAGCAACACACGCUAUGAAUGACUUGUCAUUGGUGACAUGUUAAAUGCGUUAUCUCAAUGGCAAAUCAUUGGUGACGUGUUUUAAAAAAACAUGUCACUGUGAGAGUUAUUGGUGAAGGGUAAUUAAAAUGCAUCACUAAUUUUGUAGCAUUAGUUAUGAUAUAAUUUAGUAACGCAAAAAUCUACCAUCAGUAAUGAGGUUUAGAGCCGUCGCUAAUGUGGGUUUCUUACGAGUGAUGCAAGCUCUACAAGGUGCUGUUGUUGCCAUUUUAAAGCAUCCCAAGUGACUACAAGUUAAUAGCAUAGUUUACCAUAUACCAUAAAAAUAUUAGUUACAAUAAGCACAUCCGCAUGUGGAAGAGUCCGAAUGCACCAGUUGAGGACUAAACACAUUGAAUUACUAGAACCAAAUGUAAGACAAAGAAAGGGGUCAAGGUUUGGGUAACCGCAUUAAAAACAUUGGAUUUUACUGUACCAUGAACACUUAGUUACCAUUACCAUACCUUGAGCAUCUAGUUACCACAAACAAUAAUUUAGCCACUUUAGAGGUUCCAGAAUCACUAUAAAUAAUAUACCAACACCGUACCAUGAAAACAUCAAGAAGAGAGACGGGUACAUGGACCACCAUCAAGUGAGUAGUGACAGCACGCACAAGAAUACCCGGAACCUGUUAGCUUGUCUGUAGUGAUCUGUUUUCUUCCCCAUAAAAUCCAUGAGUAUUGCCACAAAUAAUGAAAGAGGCUGACCAAGCUAACAAGGAGGUAGAGAAAACGUGAUACACGUAGGUUUCAUUCAAGACAUCCAUGUAAGAUUCAUUCAAAACAUUCAUGGAAAUUUCUUGUAAGUUUUCAUGUAAAUUUCAUUCAAGACAUUUGUUAGAGGUGUUGUAUAUAUAUACCUUAACGUACAUAUAUCUAUGAUUUCAUGGUUGUUAGUGAUGGCAGAUGAGGAGCAUGCAAGGUAUUUAAUGGAGCAGAUUAUUGCUAGUGGUAGUGGCUCCAACCUGCCCGUAACGUACACCAACGAAGAGAGCAGCCAGGCGGACAUGUUCCUCAACAUAUCCGGUGAUGGCAAUGAAGAGCCCGAGCAAAACCUUGCCGUGACGGAAGGUUCCAGUGAGGUAUAUAUCAUUUCCAUUGUUUUACCCCAUCUAUAAUUUCAUAUUCAUUAUUACUAUGUACUAAUUAAUGGAUCUUGAACCAUUAGCCCUCUAGAUCAACGAACCGAAAUAAGCCCCGAGGUCUUACAAAGAUAAUGCAGGGAAGGCAUCACAUCACGGAAGUCACAGAAGAGGGCACAUCAGUUGCUCCCGAACAUGUGGCAAGAAAGUACGUGAGUCAAACCGGGCAAUGUGCCCAUCAGCAUUAGGGAAUGAAAGGGCAAUAGAAAUGAUCUAUACACGCCCCCGGAUACACAAAAGGAUAUGCUGUGGGCAAAUAUCAAGAAACACUUCACAUUUCCCAAAGGAUAUGUUGAAAAAGAUGUGAAAGCGUGGAUGCUGAAGAAGAUGGUCACCGAAUUCCAGACAUUCAAGAAGAUGUUGGAUGUCAACUUCAUCAAGAAGGGUCGAACUCCGGGUUUCGAUGAGUGGCCAAAGUUAAGGGACCACUGGGAGUCAUUUGUCAAAUACAAGACGAGUGAAGGUGGUGCGAGUAAGGUUCGCAUCAAUGUUGCCAAUGCUAGCAAGGAGUACCAUCAUCAUCUAGGGCGACGUGGUUACAGCACUGCAAUUCCCAGAUGGCGCAAGAUGGAACAAGACCUGAUCGAUCGGGGUAUCGUACCAGCAACUCCUGACUGGCCUGAUCGAUUGAAAAAUUGGUAUUAUGCUCAUGAAGGCAAUCUGAGCCAACAGGAUGCGACAUUGGUCUUCAAUAAAACAAUACGUCAGAAGGCCGGAAGGCUUAUUAGGAACAUUGAAAAUGCUAAAUCUGGGAGGUUCAAGGUGGAUAGAGAGAAUGAUGAGCUCACAUUGGCCCUUGGGACUAUCAUCUCUAGCAUUUCCAGCUCCAGGACUGUCGUCACCACCGGGACCGUCGCUUCUUGCUCGAUCACAGUCUCCAUCUCCAGCACAUCCUGGUGGUGCGAACGAUGACGACAACAACACCCCUCCCUGCCCACCAUCGCCGGGACUAAGACCCGCAUCGAGUAAGGAACCUGCAGCACCACUGAAGAAGUCGCGACCACCGCCUUCCAAGCCAAGUCAGCAAAAGAAGAAAGCAGAGAAGCCUAAGCCCACUGAGAAGCCAACAACCGAUAUGACCGAUGCGGAAAGAUGGAAGGCACUCAAAGAAGAAUGCAGGGAGUGGUUCUGUAAAAAGAACCAAAGAAAGAAAAGGAAAGCAGAUGGAGCCACCGCCAGUAGAUCCAAGAAAAUUAUAAUUUUUUAUUAAGAUGUCAAAAGGAGCCAAGAAGAUGAUUCCACAACUAUCAAACUACGACCGGGCGUUAGUCAAGGCUGAUGAGAGUUAAAAAAGGAAAGGAAAGUCAUCUUCAAGUGGUACUGUCCCCCACCUCGAGGAUCUACCAGAAAAAGACGCUAAAAAGAUAGUAGCAAUGCUCUUGGAUCAACAAACACAUAUAUCAUGAGAUUCAUGCAAGAAACAGGUAUGUGCCUUGCUGAAUGUCUAGGGCAAGUUGAUAUGCUAGCUCUAGAGCCAUUUGUACCGAAAUGGACCUUUGAGCUAGGCAAGCCUCUAGUAAGGCCUGAGCUGGUACAGAAGCUAUCCACAUAGCUAUAUGAAUACCAUGAAUGGUACAUGAAGCAGUCUGCCAAUGAGAGGAAAAUGUUCGGUCUCAGGGAAAAACUGAUAUUUUUUUUCGGCGAAGGCGAGAAAGUCUUGUGAUGGAAUUCAAGGAUAUAUAUGAAGUGUACCAUCAGGAUGCCCUUGAUGUCUCUCUCAUCAGCGCCUAGGUUAUGUAAGUGUAUGUUUAUCUAUACGUAAUUUUUGUCUCAUAUCAUUAUUUCUUUUGCGUGCGUCACCCUACUAACUUCGUCUUCCAUUUUAUGUAGGAUGCUAAUUCAGAUGUGCCGCAUAGAAGCGCACUUCCAUGUUGGCUUCAUGGAUCCAUCCCUAGUUAACCAAAAGCAGAUACGGAAGUAGCUAGAGAAAAUGUUGGAGGUGGUAUACAACUUCCUGGACAAACAAAACUAUAGAAUAGGGGCAAUAUGUGAAGGUCUUGUAGGAUUCCUAGUGGACAAGGUGAUAAAUCCAUAAGGAGAAUAUCAUUACAACGGACGAGCAUUAGACACACUGAGCAACACCUAGACGGGAGGAUCCUAGGAAUGACCUAGACAGAUUUUGGUAUAAAUAGUAAUUGUGUAAAUACUAGUUUGAUUUGUAUAGGAAUAUACUAAGAAUUGUAUAUAUAGUAAUUGUACAAAUACUAGUUUGAUUUGUAUAAAUACUAGAUUGAUUUUAUUAUAAAAAAGUUUUAAGUCGUACGUGCAUGCGCCUACAAAGGCGCGUAUGCCCUUUAAUCCCGGUUGGAAAAACAAACCGGUACUAAAGGGGCUCGUGCCGCACCUGGCAUGACCGCCCCUUUAGUCCCGGUUGAACGACCCAGGACCAAAGAUCUGCCCCGUCUCAUAAAUUUUAUCCUGGAUGCUUUUUAGAGAGAUUUGAGGCCUAUCAACCAAGACUAAUAUCGAGUUUUCUACCAGUGGAACUAACUAACGUUCACAUGCUUCUGACAUUCACCUGCCAUUUGGUGUAGACAAGGGCACCCUAACAUAUGGUUAAUAUUAUUCAUGAAAGAAAAUCCUUUGAUUCAAAAAUACUUCAAACCUAAUAAUACAAUACUUCUCACAUCUGAAAAAUAUGAGAUGGCCCGACAGUAUUCUAACCGACGCAAUAAUAUUUUGAGGGCAGCACUACUACAGCGACCCUCAUUCGUGCCGGUGCUGGAACCCCUAUCACGACCCUGAUACAAAUGAGGGUACAUUAUUGUUGCCAGUGCUAGAAUAGCCACGAAUAACUUGCUAAACAUGCUGUUACACUCACUACUAGAAAAAUAACCUCUCGUCCUGAGGCUUAGUACCGGUCACUUUUUUGCCCAGUACUAAUGUUAGUAUUAGUACCGGAUCCAAAUUUGGGAUCCCCCAGAGACCCUUUAGUACCAGGUGGAGUCUCCACCCGAUACUAAAGGCUUUGUUACCGGGUGAAGGAUCCUCCCGGUACUAAUGGGGGAUUUUUAGUACCGGGUGGGAACCCCACCCGAAACUAAAAUCUCCCAUGCGGACCCCUCCCCCCCCCACGCGUUGCCUCUGUCCUCCCUCCUCCUCCUCUGAGUAGUUAUCCCUUCCUCAUCCCUCCUCCUCCUCCCACACGUGGGGUGAGGUGAGGUGGCAGUAGCAACGACAGGUGGUGUGGCGGGUCACGGCGGGCCGGAUGCGGAGCCGCAACGGUGGUCGGCGGGAUGGGGUGGGGCAGAGCGGCAUGGCAGGGCGGAGCGGUGGGACGGGGCCGAGGUGGAGGUGCCGGGCGGAGGUGGAGUGGCAGGACAGAGGCGGAGGCGGAGCGGCGGGUCGGCGAGCGGGUGGAGGGUGGCGACGAUGGGGCGGGCAGAGGCAGAGGGGUGGGUGGAGGGGCGGCGUGGUCCACCGGCGGGGGGGGGGGGGGGAGAGGGAGGCGUGGGGGGUGCGGUUGGUGAUUUCAAUUUUCUUUUAAUUUUUUAACACCCUUCAGUACCAGUUAUUUUAACCGGGUCUAAAGGGAUCCCCUCUUGUACCGAAUUGCUAGUACAGGAUGCACAACCGGUACUAGAGGGAGGUUCCCAACCGGUACUAGAGCCACUUUCCCCGGUAGUGACUUUUUCACCGAUUAGAAUAUGUUAUUAUUCUAAUCAGCUUUUGUUGAUCUCCUGUAUAAUUUAGUACCUAAUUCUACUAGCAAUUGUUAACGCCGACACGUAUUGGGUAUAGUCCUAACAGUGUCUAACUAGGGCACUACAUUUGUUAACCUAUAACUACUGGUAUCGAUUAGCCCUGGUUAGAAUACUGUCAAGGCAGCCAGAAAAAAUUGUUUGCCAAUUCUGCUAUCCAUCAGAACCAUGACUAGUACCGUAUUGUAAUAAACGAAUUACACAAAUAACUGAUGCACACAAAGGAAUAUGCACUCGCAUGUGCUAGACGUUCGUAGCAACAACAAAUUACUCUCAUCAUCAAUUAAACAUAAUAGAUUAAACAUUAACUGAACAUAGUUCAACACGUACAUCAACAAGACAAAGCAGUUUAAACAUCAACUGAACAGAACUGAAAACAUACAUCAACUGAUGAUAAACUUCGACAUGAACACAACACAUAAACAUCAACUUCAAUAGAACUUAAUAGAGCAUAUUAAACAACAACAUCGACAAAACAUAUAAACCCAGCUCAGUAGCUCAAGCAUCAACUAAAACUGCUGAAUUAAAAUAACAUAACAUAGUGUAGUUCAUCAUGAUGAUAACUAACAGAACCGAAAAGCCUAACUGGGUAAAAGAGCAAUUCAUUCAUAAUGCUUCAGCACUUACAUCACCGGAGUAUGCAACUGGCGGCGUCGCUUACGUCACUAUCACCGCGCUUGGCGAGUAAAGGAGGAGGAGGUGGCAUAGUAAUCGAAGAGGAGGCCGCUGUCGGCGGGUUUAGACUACGUGGAGGUGUGGGUAGGGUUAAGGUGGCUCUGUGGACGAGUAUAUAUAAGAGGUCUGGGCUUGUUAGAAUAAGAUAACAUUCUAACUGGCCAAAUUCGGAUCCGGUUAGAAUAAAUUGUUCUAACCAGCCUUAAUUCGAGGUGGUAAGGAUAAGUUAACAUUCUAAUCAGCUCUAUUUGGAGCCCGAUUGAAUGUUCUUGUUAUUCAAAAAAAGAUCAAGUUCAUCAAUUUUUUUCUAGAAAAACAUCAAGAUAAUUUAAACACGAUAUAUAACAAGAUUAAUACAUUUAAAAAUUGUUUUCUCCAAUAAUUAACGAUAUUUAACAAAUUCAAAAAAAAUCCAAAUUAACAGAACAUAAUAACCAAUUGUUCGAAAAAAUCAAAAUAGUCCACACAGUAUCAUAUUACAAAUUCAGAAAAAUAUCAAAAUAAUCCCUGAUCCACUCGAUACCGUCGUAGAACUUUGAAAUACUGAGCUUCUUGAUUCAUCUGAGGUCCACGUACUCGUCUCAGUAACACUAGUGGUGGCCAUGCAUCUUGUAGAUGUCUUCUAAUGAAUUAAGCUUGACAUACAAGGUCGUGCCUUCCACUCCUUGAGGAUUGCUUAUGACGUUUCUGCAAAUAACGAAGCAUUGCUUUCUCCAACAUGAUUAUUUUCUUCGGCUUAUCCCAAGGGACAACUAUGGUUUUCCCCUUGCCGGAAGAGGAACGAUGAUCGCCCCCACCAUCGCCACUUCCUCCAGUAGCAGAAGCCAUCUAUGUACAAAAAUUCAUACCUUAGCACUACAGAACUUGUUGAACUUGAAGACUGUGAUCAUUAGGCGAGCAUGUUCUCAACUAGGUGGCACCGCACUUCGUCAUGGAAGAGCUUCGAUUUUACAAAAAAGGGGACAUGAUCUUCCAUGAUGUCCGUAUCCGCUCUUUCUCGUAGAAUCAGAGCUCCUCCUUGAUAUACGAUGCUGCUCGGCGGAGAACAUGCUCACCGAGAUGAACACGGUAUGCAAGUUCAACAAGUAUGGAUUUGAAAAACCAUAUUGAAUUUGACAAGACAAACUAUCUAGAUAAGCGUAGCAUCAUUCUUAAACCACUGCAAGGAUACGUACUAUAUAUGACACAUCAAUCUCCCUCACAUUCUAGCUCAAAAUACCUCUCCAUUUUCUACUUCACAUUCUAGCAAAUAAACUAUCUAUCUCCAUUCUACACAUCAAGUUGUUUUAACUAAUACAAAUCGUAUAUAACAAGCAAAAUAUCCAUCACAUUCUAGCUCAAAAACAUGUAUAAAUACAAAUCCUCUUCAUUCUCCCUUUUUCUAACAAACAAACUCAUUUUUCUCCCUCUCCAAAGCAUAAAUUAAAGCGUAACAUGAGGAUGAGGUAGCAAACCUUCACAACACAUUGGAUGAGUGAAAUUCCCACGAAAAUGAGGGAAAAAAAUUCGGGCAGCACCUCCCUUGCUUCGGCACCUCUAGAGAGUAGGUGAAGCUCAGUUCUCUAUUUUUGUGGUGGACUAGCUUGGGCUGGAGGAGGAAGAAAGGCCUCUGUCUUGGUAUAUAAUGGGGGAUGAGUUUUUAUCCCAGUUAAAAGCUCCAACUGAGACAAAACGGCCAAUCUUUUGUCCCGGUUGGAGCCUCCAACCGGGACAAAAGGGGCACGCCAUCGACGCACGGGAGCUAGCCGUUACAACCGGGACUAAAGGGGGGCCUUUAGUCCCGGUUGCAAAUACCAACUGGGAUUAAAUCUCCCCUCCAUUUUUGCCUACCGUGGUGCGCCCCCUUUUAUCCCGGGUCAACUUUAAACCGGGACAAAAGGGGGCGUCGAAGAUCAGUUCUCUACUAGUGACCCCUCCCCACCUAUCUCUCUCCCUCCAUGCUCCUCGAUCUGUGCCUCCCCUCCCCUCCCCUUCCACUCGCCCCUCACCGACGGUAAGGAGCAGCGGCGGGGCGAGGUGAGGUGGCAGCAGCAAUGGCAGGUGGUGGGUCGCAGCGGAGCGGCUACGGUAGGCAGCCGGACGGGGCAGAGCGGCGGGGCGGGGUGGAGGCGGAGGUGGCGGGUAGAGGCGGAGCGGCGAGGCGGAGGCGGAGGUGGAGGCGGAGUGGUGGGACGGCAGGGCCGGGCGACUAGUAUAGGUGGGCGGGCGGAGGGCGGCGACGGCGGAGCGGGCGGAGGCAGAGGGGCAGCGGGGGCCGCCGGCGGGGGGUGUGAUCGGGGAUUUCAAUUUUUUUUAAAUUUUUUAACACCUUUUAGUCCAACUGGUUCUAAAGGGACCCCUCUAGUAUCAAAAUUGCUAGUACCGGUUGCACAACCGGUACCAGAAGUGGUUCCUAACUGGUACUAGAGCCACUUUCCCUGGUAGAGACUUUUUUACCAGUUAGAAUAUGUUAUUAUUUUAAUCAGCUUUCGCUGAUCGCCAGUAUGAUUUAGUACCUAAUUUUACUGGCGAUUGUUACCGCUGACACGGAUUGGGUAUAGUCCUAACAGUGUAUAACUACGGCACUACAUUUGUUAACCUAUAACUACUUGUAUCGAUUAGCCCUGGUUAGAAUACUGUCAAGGCAGCCAGAAUUUUUUUUUUUUGCCAAUUCUGCUAUCCAUGAGAUCCAUGACUAGUACCGCAAUGUAAUGAAUGAACUGCACAAAUAACUGAUGCACACAAAAGAAUAUGCACUUGCACGCUAGACGUUCGUAACAACAAAUUACUCUCAUCACCAAUUGAACAUAAUAGAUUAAACAUUAACUGAACAGAAUUCAACACGUACAUCAACACGACAAAGCAGUUUAAACAUCAACUGAACUGAACUGAACACAUACAUCAACUGAUGAUAAUUAUCGACAUCAACAGAACACAUGAACAUCAACAUCAAUAGAACUUAAUAGAGCAUAUUAAACAACAACAUCGACAAAACAUAUAAACCCAGCUUAGUAGCUCAGGCAUCAACUAAAAUUGCUGAAUUAAAACAACACAACGUAGUGUAGUUCAUAAUGCUUCGGCGCUUACACCACUGGCGGGUCGCUUACGUCGGCAUCACCGCGCUGGCUGAACCUCCGACACCCCCACCACGGCAAACGGAGGUGAUGGCGGAAGGUGAGGCAACGACAGUAGCUGGUGAGCUCCCGCUCCAAUGUCUCGCGAGUAAAGGAGGAGGAGGUGGCAUGGGAAUCGAAGAGGACACUAGUAGAGAAACGACUUUCCAUCCACCCCCUUUUGUCCCGGUUUAAAGUUGGCCCGGGACAAAAGGUUCACCAACCGGGAUUAAAACUCGGUCACUGGUGGGGGGCUCACCAACCGGGACCUUUUAUCCCGGUUGCAAAGGCUAGUGGGAAAAAAUUACUCUGAGAGGCCUUUUAUCCCGGUUUGAAACACCAACCGGGAUAAAAGACCCCCCCUUUUAUCCCGGUUGGUAACACCAACCGAGAUAAAAGGGUCAAGAGCCUUUUAUCCCGGUUGGAAACACCAACCGGGAUAAAAGGGGGUCUUUUAUCCCGGUUGGUGUUUCCAACCGGGAUAAAAGGGUCCCCCACGAGUUAAUACAAAAGGAUAGUAUCCCCUACAUAGUCAGAUGUGGUGUGUAGGUGGGAUGGUAAGGAAGCUACGCGCGAGGCUGGAGGUUGUGGGUUCGAAUCCCACGAACCGCGCACGCGCAUAUUUCGCGUGAAAAAUCGCGUGACUUGCGACUUGCGCGUGUGGGGGGGCCUCCUGGGAGCUCGGGAAUUUUUUUUUUUUGCAGCGCCGGCCGUGGGUGAACCCUUUUAUCCCGGUUGGUAUUACCAACCGGGAUAAAAGGGGGUCUUUUGUCCCGGUUGAGUGACCCGGGAUAAAAGACCCCCCCUUUUGUCCCGGUUGGUUUAUCCCGGAUGCAUUUUCGAGAUCUUUGCACCCUACCAACCGGGAUAAUAGGUGAGUUCUCCACCAGUGGGAGGCCGCCGCUGGCGGGUUUAGACUACGUGGAUGUGUGGGUAGGGUUAAGGUGACGGUGUGGACUAGUAUAUAUAAGAUGUCUGGGCUUGUUAGAAUAAGAUAACAUUCUAACCGGCCAAAUUCGGACCCGGUUAGAUUAAAUUGAUAUUCUAACCGGUCCUAUUUCUAGGUGGUAAGAAUAAGUUAACAUUGUAAUUGGCUUUAUUUGGAACCCGAUUGAAUCUUCUUGUUAUUCAAAAAAACAUCAAGUUCAUCAAUUUUAAUCCAGGAAAACAUCAAGAUAAUUUAAGCACGAUAUAUAACAAGAUUAAUACAUUUAAAAAUUGUUUGAUUCACAAAUUAACGAUAUUUAACAAAUUCAAAAAAUCCAAAUUAACAGAACACAAUAACCAAUUGUUCGAAAAAAUCAAAAUAAUCCACACACAUUAAUAUAUUACAAAUUCAGAAAUAUAUCAAAAUAAUCCCCGAUCCACUCGAUACCGUCAUAGGACUUUUAAAUACUGAGCUUCUUGAUUCGUCUGAGGUCCACCUACUCGUCUCAGUAACACUAGUGAUGGCCAUGCAUCUUGUAGAUGUCUUCUAACGAAUCAAGCUUGACGUACAAGGUCAUGCCUUCCGCUCCUUGAGGAUAACCAUCUUUGGUGAUCUUGAAAUGGCAGACGGUGGAUGUGCCAAAGGUACGUGACGAUCCUUCUAAAUGUAUGCCACCACAACUUCCGUCUGAUCGCCAUGGGUGACACCAAGAAGAGCUACCAUGCGGCAAGGGACGAACAAUUUAUCAAUUAGUGCCGCUGUCCAUCGCCAUCAUCUAAUCCAGCCAUAUCUUGUUGUAUAUUUAAGUAUAGAAAUUAAGAUUUAAAAAUAAACAGAAUAAAUUGAGAUCGAUUAUGUAUGUAUAUCAGAACAUUAGCUUUUGGAAAAAGGGCUUCGAUGGAAGAGAGGCACGGGGCAUAGAGACAACAACGAGUGACAAUAUGUCAGAAGAAUACCCGAUCACAAUUAUUGGCACACACAGCCGAUAUUUACAGUAGUCAAUACCCCUGGUAAAUAACCACACCAUCAAGAGUAAAUAGUGACAAUAUGCAGUAUAUACACGACAUAGCCUUGGCUGCCGUGGAAGCACCAGAAGGGAGACAAAUAACAGGGACCACUACAUCAAGUAGAUAGUGACAAUAUGCAAAAGAAUACCCGCGCCUGUUAGCAUGUGUGAACUGACCACACCACGAAACGUGAUACACGGCAAGCGUACCAAGGCCUUGCUGUGCAGACUAUGCAUGGACAACACAUGGUACCUGACCGCUUUUGGCCUCAGACACAUCAAAAACUGCAUCGUUCCACGUUGUACAUCCAUUGCUAGUUUAUCUAUAUUACAUAAUAUAUUAUUAGCUAUUUGAAUAGAAUGAACCAAUUAAAAAAUUACGUUGUAUUUUAGUACCGGCUGCAGGAUGGUGUUACCAACCAGUACUAAUUGGCCUGUAGGAGUGAUGGUUAUUAGACUUGGUACUGUUGUUAGCAUCAUUAACCUAAUUGUGCGCCGUAUGAAUUUGGGGAUGCAAAGCUAGCUCUCUAUGAAUGUGAGGGAUGGAAAGCUAGUUCUCUAGUAGUAAUUAUAUAUAUGACAGUCAGGAAAUCGAACACUAUGCUGCUACGAGUCACCAUCAUUUCCUUCAUUGACAAUCUGACAUAGGUGAAGCUGCUUCAAUAAUUUCCUUCGCGCAGUCGUGGAGCUUAUUGGAUUAUCACCAGGACGGGACACGGAAAUGGCCAGCAAUGAAGCUGAUUGCCGUCUGAGGAAGACUACAUACUUACCUAUGAAAUGAAGCGAUUGCAUAGACUAAUGAAGCAUUGCAUAUUUGCAUGUGAGUGUGGCAGAUAAUUCUGCAGGACAUGAUUGCAAUCCACGCACCAUCGAGAAGACUGGGGCGAUGGGGUUGCCUCAUCAAUAAUCACGUGGAUGCAUGCAUGCAUGUUCCCUCAACCGGACAAGGGUCUGAUAUAUGGCUAUAGUAUUACUGAGCCCACAUCAAUAAUUUCCGCUGGUGUAUCGUGUGGGAAGAAUCAACAUACUACACCUCUGAGUUCUUGGAACUAACUGACGUUCACAUGCAACCUCCACAAGGUGCUGUAUGCUUUUGACAUUCACCUGCCAGUUCGUGUAGAGGACACCCUAACGUAUGGUUAAUAUUAUCCAUUUCAUGAGUAAAAUACUGUGAUUCAAAAAUACUUCAAAUCCCUUGAGACAAUACUUCUCACUUGACUAACCACUAACCAACCCCGAAACCCUAACUCAACUCCGAACCCUAACCCCUAACGGCAUAACCACUCCGUUUUGCCGGCGAGAUGGAGGAACUGGCUGGAAGGUAGAGAGGGCAGCGGUCCAGGGUUGAAAACGACGGGCGAGCGCAGUAACAUGUGGAGGAGGAAGUGCCACGUAUUCGUUCACCGCUAUUGGGCAGCGACACACGACACGCCCAAUAAGAUCUUCGCACGGUAGAAGGACGUCAUGUAUUCAAUAAUGUUAUUGGUCCCCCAUGUGCAGAAGGGCGCGCGCGUAUGGAAUAACAAGUAGGGACACUGCAACUAAUCUACUCUGCUCGUCCAGUCCCUAGCCUAUAAAUAGAUGCCAUGCUAGCUCUUGUUGUGCUCACAAUUAAUCCGAUUACACACGAGCUUCUCUCCCUGGCCAAGACACAACCAUAGUAUGAUGAAGAACAUGGCACUAGCCGGCAAUGGUAUGAAGAAGUUAAUCCUCGCUGUUCUCUUACUGUGUCUAGUUAUAGGGCAGAUACAAGUGGAAGCUAAGAGCUGCUGCCCAUCCACCACUGCAAGAAAUGUCUACAAUACCUGCCGUUUCACGGGUACAUCCCGUCCAACGUGUGCAAAACUGUCAGGCUGCAAAAUUAUCAGCGGGAACAAAUGCAAGCCCCCUAACGACCACCUCACCCUUGACCCGGACACUGGUAAAUAAUAAAUUUAUCUCACUUGAUUUCUUCGUGAUUUGAGUCGUUAAUGUAUUUUCCAUCUGAUGAAACGUAUUGGUUUUGCAUUGAAGAGGAAGUUAAUGUGCUUAACUUCUGCAAGUUGGGGUGUGCGUCGUCUGUGUGCAACAACAUCAACGCUGGUAAGCAACUUUUGCUCAGACAGAGAAAACAAUAAUCAUUAAUUAGCGGCAGCUAGAAUCCUAUAAUCUAAUAUAUAUAUAUAUAUAUAAUUUUAUCAGCUCUGGGAAAUGAAGAGGCGAACGAUGCCGUUGAGAGUUGCGACCAAGCCUGCUCUAGCUUCUGCAGCGUGCAUGUUGGCAGCGCCACCGUGGUUGCUUAAGCAAAUGCAUCCAACUAGAUCGUCCUUGUGCUGAAUAAUUGGAUAUCGUAUCCACUUAAAGCUGCCUUGUGUAGUACGUCUUUGUGUCUCUCUUUAUAUUCCAAUAAGGUCGGUGAUCUUGAUGCCACACACUCAGAUGUGUGUUCAUCUCCAGAUACUACUCCAUGCUACCUGCCCUUUGUGUUUUGUUCAAUAACUGGGUAUCAUAUCCCAGCCAGUAUGCCGUCUGUUUUGUGUUUGUUUCCUUCUAGUUCCAAAGGGGUCAUCAUGAUGUUACCUUCUUUCAAUAUGGUGCUUUGCAUGACUACUGUUGUAUGGUACCAUCUUGUGGCCAAUAAGUACAUCUUAUCCUAUGACCUUUGCUAUGACCCUUUGCAAAUAAGUAGAAGAUUGUUAUAAGCGUCAAUACUCCGUAUAAAUUGAUCGCUGCUGUGAGUUCCCUUUCAGCUUAUCGUAGGCAUACAUUAUUGCUAGCACGGUAAAGCCAACCAACACGAAUGAUGAAGUAAACGUAGCGGUACUUCUGUAUACCAACACCCUUACUUAAAUGUACCGGUGUCAUUCCCUACUGGCACAUAUAUUCUUAUAUGCUAGCCAGCUUGUAAAAUUAACCAAUUAAAAUAAUUAUUUCAAGAUAGAAAUAACUUAUCGGUUUCUGGAAGCAUGUGUAAUGUGAAUUCAAGGACUCGACGGAAGUUGAAUCACUUCAUCUAUAUUGCUUUCAGUAUUUUGGGUAACUAAAUUUAACAUUUGCACAUACAAAUGUUAAAGUACAAAUGUUAAAUCUAGUUACCCAAGCAGAAUAUGAAGAUAGUUUAUAGUAUAUAUAUACUAUAUAAAUCUAGUUAACAUUUAGUCUAAAUGUUAAAUCUAGUUACCUAAAAUCCUGAAAGCAAAAUGUAUAAAUAUAUAUCUUUUAAGGCAGUAUAAGCUUCGAUUCCUAUUGCUGCUCUGUUAAAUCUCAUCUUUCGUUGUGGCCCAACACUCUAGUAUGCAUGUUGCACCAAGCUUCUUUGAGCCGCUCUGCCCUCUGAUUUUGCUGCGUAGGGGAAUCUUUAUCAGGUUGGGCUACUUCCAGUUGUGCGAUGUAAAGAUUCGUAUUUUCUAGAAGGUAGACAAAAAACUCGCGUUCUCUUAAGGCAACAACCGGAAGAUUCUGCAGCGCACAGGGCAUACCAUUAUUGUAGAAACGACCUUUAGUACCGAUCUCCAACCCCCUUUAAAACUGGUUUUGCAACCGGUACCGUUAUGUCGGUCCUUUAGUACCAGAUCAAAUAAGUACCGGUUGGUAACCAGUAUCAACUUGUUUUGCGGCCAAAAAAAUAAAGAAAAAAACAGUCAGAAGGCUCGCGCACACGCGCAUCACAUGAAAUAUGCGUGUGCGGGGUCCAUGGGAUUCGAACCCAUGAAAUCAAGCUGCGCGCGACCCUUCGUUACCAUCUCACCUACAUAGCGCAUAUGCUUUCCUGAAGUAACCCGUGGAGGAGGCUUUAGUACCGGGUCAUAACACCACCCGGUACUAAAAAUGACUCUUCAGUACCGGGUCAUAACACCACCCGAUACUAGUAUCGGAUGGUGUAAUGACCCGAUACUAAAAGGCCUCUAGGGACCCUCAAAUUUGAACCCGGUACUAAUGCUAAUAUUAGUAGCGGGUCAAAGUGCAGCCAGAACUAAAGCAUGGGAUGAAAGGUCAUAUUUCUAGUAGUGUAUAGUUGUUGUGAAGGACUGACUUGGCUGUCCUCUCUCUUCUCCAUCCCCUUGGUCUUACGCCGCCGCUCGCACGCGAGCCGGUGCCCAACCAGAGGAGUGAGAGCUAGGGGCAGGUUGGGAGGUGGGGAUAGUGACUGGUGGCCAGGGUGAUGGUUGAUCCUGGUGGGGUUAGGGUUUUAGGGUUUUCGAGCUUCCUAUGGUCGGCGAACCUAGAGGAGGAGCUCAACAUCAGCUGCAACCCGCGAUGGUGGUGGUUUGGCCGGCGCCCGAGGCGAGGCAGCGCGGGAGUGCUGCCGGUGGGUUGGUGUUGGCACUCAUUAUUGACAACUAUUUUGUUCAUAAAAUAACACUCAAACUUGCUGCUGCUGCUGCUGCUGCCAUCGCCACCCUAGCCAUAAUAUAAAGGCAAAAUUUGCUAAAGGACAUGCAAAAUGAUGCUAGUUUGCUGGCGGGCAUCGUUGACCUUGUAAUAUGCUACAAGACACUCUAGUUGUGUAUCAAUUUGCUGAAAGACAUUGCUAUGACUAAAAUAAUGUUUCUGGACUGAGUUGGAGAGAGAGAUGGAGUGAAAUGUCUGUUUUGCCCAUGACCCCACUGGUCAGAUCCUUCUUCUUCCACCCUCCUUUGUUCUUUCUUCAACCAUUACCCAGCUCCAGCGUGUUGCAGAUCUACGAGGGUGGCGGCCUGGGGCGAGGGGCAUCGCUCGCCCUUGGAGGAGCGCUGCGAGCGACGGCGCGGGGGCGGCAACAGCGCGUCAGAACCUGACUGUUCGUUAGCUCCUCUCGCUGCUGGGGAAGGAGGGGGAUGGGCCAUGGACGGGGUUCCCUUGAAAACCUCAGCGUCGAGCUCGGGCGGCUACGCGCAGGCAGCACUAGGCUGCUUCACGGGGAGGGGGCGCGGCCAAUCAUUGGCACCCCACUGGUCCAAUGCUGAUGAAGAUGGUGCCAGCGUCGUGUGAGGACAUCUCAUCUCCUCGAGUUCCAUGGCCAGCACAGGUGAGCUGCCGCUACCACAAAACAGAGGUUUCGUGAGAGUCAAAAAACCUUAUGAAAAUAGCUAAAACCAUCAUGAAAAUAAUCCGUGACAUGACACUCUCACGAAAAUCCUCUCACAAAUAUGGUGCCAUGAAAAUACCAUUUUCAUGAGAGUGAACUGUCAUGAUUUUAUUUCGUGAGAGUAUUUCCUAUCAAUGACCUCCACGAAAUACUUUGUGCCACCAGGUCUUCAAGAUCAUUUUCAUGAGAGCUGAACAUCAGGAAAAGUCCGCCACAAAUGUUUUUCUUGGAGCCCCUAACUCUCAUGAAAAUCAUGCGGGCCGCCACGAAAAACAGCAUGACCAAAUGACAAAUUUCAUUUUCAUGUGUUCAUACCGCCAUGAAAAUGGUCAUUUUCAUGAGAGUUGAUGAAACAAAAAAUAGUGCCAUUUUCAUGAGAGUUCAAGCAACCAGGAAAAGACACUAAUAAACAUCCAGAUCCCAUCCAGCACACAUCCAUGCACAUAUAUAACCCACAUAUUGCUCCAGCACACAUCCAUGCAUAUACAAGAUCCAAAUGUUAAUAUAGUAGACAUCCAUGCCUGAACUAGUCUGCCACACAAGUCAUUGAUGCUACAAAUCCUACAAUCGCAGCAUGUGCAUACAAGUCACAGAAUGAGACAAUGUACCCAAAACUAAAAGGUUAGCAUCAACUGUGCUUCAACCAAAGUUGUCAUCCCAACUCUCCUCUUCAUCCAUGCCAUUCUUGUCGUGGCCGUCACUGUCAGUCCCCAUGGCAUUGCCAAUGCUGUGCAUGUCUUGGUAGGAACCUACAUGUGAUGAACUAGUAACCUGCAAAAAGAGCUCAAAGGAUCUUGUUCUCAUAUUGUAGCUGUGAAAUUCUUACAAGUAGUGUUGCAAUCAGUUCACUUUGAACCAAAAGAGCUCAAAGGAUCUUGUCCUAAAAGUUCCUCAUAAAGCUUAUGGGUUUGCUGGUGGAACUGGAAGGGCUUGAUGCAGCAGAUGCCAUUCUGCAAUAGAGAAAAAUUUAGAGAGCAGUACUAGUUAAAAUUGGAUGCAGAAGAUACACAUGAAACUAGUAUUUAUACAAGUCUAUACAAUUAAAAUCUAAGGAGACUUAUCAUCGUUUUCAUGUGUUGUGAAUUAAAAUAAUGAAGGAUACACUGUUAGGUGAAAAUUCAAGAAACAAAAUUUUGCAUAGAGAUAAAGGUCCAACAUUAUUACAAGUUAAGGUAGUUUUAAAUAUCCUUGUAAUCUUCCUUUGGUUUCCUCAACGAUUCGAAGACAAUAACCUUGCUUCUAUCAAUGAUAAUUAUAAGGAGAAUCCAGUGGAAACUGUGUAUUCGUAUUAGAACUACCUAAGGUUAAUUAGGUUAGGAAAGGAAAUUGAAAAUAGAUGGUACCCACACUUACUUAAAGUUGUCGGGCAAUAGUAUGUAAUGCUUGUAAUUCCGUUGCUCCAAGAAUUUGUAUAUGUGGUCCAAUGUAGACUUUGGUUGAUCCCGUAUCUGCUGUUGGUUAAAUAAGUGUUUCUAGCCAUUUCUAGCCAUUAGAACCGGGACUAAAGGGGGCUCUUUAGUACGGGUUGAUAUUACUAACCGGGAUUAAAGAGCCCCCAUUAGAGUUGGUUUUUGGAUGCGGAACUAACAACUCCUUUAGUCCUGAGUACGAAAACAACUGACAUAUUUGUUGCUGGAUGGAAGGUCCUUUCUCUACCGUGAAUAUUGCCAGAAAGAAUUGAAAGAGACUGCUUGCUAAAAAUAUGUCAUAGAUGUAGACCAAGCUACCAAGGAGGUAGACCAAACAUGAUACACACCAUGCGUACCUUGCUGUGCAGACUAUGCAUUGACAAGAUACCCGACCACAUGUUGGCCUCGGUCACAUCAAAAGAAUCAUGUAGGCCACCAAUAAACUACUUGAAGCGGCAUUCCGUAUCGUAUAUGCAUUGCCGGUUCAUCUGCAUUACAUUACAUAAAGCACUAUUAACUAUUUGAAUAAAAUGAACCAAUUUAAAAGUAAUGUGUUGUACUCUACUAUAGAAAGCCCUAUCACUGCCGGAUCCAAAAACAUCAUUGUUAAUGGUGGUUAAGUACCAAAUAUGACGGUCAAUAUUCUCAAGAAUAAUGGAGAAUUAGCAUUUCUUAGACACAUAUUUGGUUUUGAACAAUGUAGUUCCACAUGUCUUUGGAGAUUAUUUGGGUGUGGGUGAAAUAAUACAAAAAUAAGGAGAAAACACACUCCCAUGGCGAAGAAACACAACUCCAACCAAUGAGAGAUAGCCACAGGGGCAGCACACGGAUCCAUGGGCCCACUAACCGCAUCAAACCAUCUUACCAAGGCAGGUAGCACCCACAACCGUCAUUAGGACCCACCUGGAAGUCUACCAAGAAGAAGGUUGCGAGUGGGGCCAGGAGGGGUUCGGUUGAAUCAUCUCUAGCUAGCUCCCCUCAUCCCCAGCUGGUGGGUGGUGGUGGUUGAUGGUGUCCCUACAUCAGUUAGAGGAGAUUCCCCCAAAUAUUCCUCCUGUAAACCACCUCUAUGGACCUAUACAUAGAGGGGUGUGCUCUCCAUUCCAACACACACCACAAGUUGAAUCACUCUCUCCCUCUUUAGUUUCCAAGUUUAUGGAGUUAGGCUAGAGUAGCUCUGCUCAAGGUUCCAAGUCCACUUGGAGUUAAGCAUAUGUCUCUUGUAUCGUUAUUUCCUAAAUUGACUUUAUGCUUAGUUCUUAUAUGCAUGAGUUAGUCUAAUACCCUUGCUAUAUUGAUAUGCUCGGCUUAUAUGCUCGUAUGCUAGUCAUAUACCCUUGCUGUCGUAGUAUAGGCUUAUAUGCUCUCAUGUGUGCCUGUAGACCUUGCUAUAGUAUAUACUUGUUGUGCAUACAUACCAUGUAUAGGCUAGUCGAUCUAUACCAUGGCAUUGGUUCAAUAGCCAUGUUUUUGGUGGCUCCAACCCUAGUCACAAUAGCUCGGGACAGCUGGAGUGUUGUUAAAAAUGCAAGAGUGGUGCUUGGGUUGUUUAGCAUCGUUGGAUAUGGGUUUGCCCCACGGGUUUCUAACGGUAGGCGGCAGCUAGUGACAUCCCUGUCCGUCCUUCGUAAUCCCCCCACAUUCAGGUACGCCAUAAAUGUUCGUAAAUUAGCAGUAACUACGCCGGUACACCUGUAGGGUAUUGUCUCCCUGUAGUACCUUGGUGCAUAGAACUAAGUCCUAUACACUGUGUGUGUAUGUUUACGCUGAUAUGAUCUGUGCAGUAUAUAGGAUGUAUAUAUGAACCUAGAGCUAACUCCUAGUCCGUUCUCCAUAGCUUAGUUAUCUUGAGAUGAUUCUUCUGUAUGUGUAACACUACCCAUCUUAUCAUUAUCCUUGAUCCUGUCUUGUGUAAUAUAUCUACUCAUCCUAUGAUAUACUCAUAUGCAUAGUAAACUAUUUUGACCUACCCGCCUUCCUUUGGGAAAUAUGAUACCUUGGAAUAAUCCUAGGUGAAAUCCUACAACGGUAUAUCCAUGUAAAUGCGGAUUUAUUCAUGACCAUUAAAUAUACCAACAAUCAUCACUGUGAGUUUUGGGCGUCGUUAGUGAAGGGUUGGUAGUGAUGGGCAUCCCCUUCACCAAUGGACCUGGAACCGGCGGUGAUGGCUAUUAUAAAAAAGGGGACACCACCCAGCGUACCCCACGACCCGGCCGGCCGCACCUCCCAUCAUCCCCGCCAGCCGCCCUUCCUUUUCGCCGGCCGAGCAUGGUCCCGGCCUUUGUCCCUACCACCUCGCCUCCACCGCGACCCCCCGCCGAUGCCCUCGUGCCUGGCCCCCCUCAUCUUGCCGGCCACCCUCCCGAUGCGUCCACUGGGGCCCUCGCACCACCAACCGCCCUUGCUUAGAGAGGGAGAGAGAGGAGGGAGGUGAGGCCACGCACCUCGUCCUACACCGCCGCUGUUUCUCCUCGGCCCACCGCGCCUCACCCCACACCACAGCCGCGCCUUGCCAUCUUACCGGCUGUGACGCCUCAUCUCACCGGCCACCGUUCCUCACCCCCACUUCGGUCGUCGCCGCUCCUUGCCCUACCGCUGCUCUUUGCCGCUGCGAAUGAGCGCCGAGUGGAGGAGGAGGGAUGGGGCAGGAGGAGGGCAAGAUCCGGGAGGAAGGGAGAGAUCUCGGGAGGUGGAGAUGGAAGGAUAUGGCGGAAGGGAGAGAUCCAGAGGGAGAGAGCAGGGGAGAGAGGGGGGCGUGUGGGGAGAGAGCGCGUGUGGGGUGGGGCCGGGCUGGUGGGAUGGAAGGGAGAGGGGCUAGACGGGCGCAGUGCAUUCAACUGGAUGAAGUAAAUAUUUUGGAUUCGAGACCCCAGCUUUAUUAUCACCGCUGGUCCGUAGUACCAUCCGGUGCCUGCUCGUAAUUUAAUUUGAAUCUGCGGUGAUGUUUUAUUAUCACCAUCGGAUCAUAUAAAAAUCCGGCGGUUAAAAAUCCGCUGGUUUCGAUGAAAACCGACGGUGAUAGGAUGACUGUGAUAGUCUCUUCUCUAGUAGUGGUAUAUUAGUACCGGCUGCCGGAUGGUGUUGCCGACCAGUACUUCUCCGGGGGCGAUUCAGUACUGCUGUUAGCAAAGCUUGUUCUCUAUGAAUUUGGGGAUGGAAAGCUAGUUCUCUAGUUGUGAUUUGUUACAUAUAUAUCUAUGAUAGUCUAGAAAUUGCAUGUCCUUCGUUGACAUAGUUGAAGCUGCUUCAAGAAUUUACUUCGUGCAGUCGUGCAGCAUAUUGGAUUAUCACCUAGACAGGAUACAUAGGUGAAGCAUUGGAUGUGAUUGUGGCCGAUAAUUAUGCAGGACGCUGUUGCAAUCAACCACCAAGAAGUCUGGAGUGAUGGGGUUGCCUCAUCAAUAAUUUUUAUAUAUGGCUGCAGUAUUAUUAAGCCCACGUCAAUAAUUUUUUGUCCGCACCAUAUAUCGAUGGGGUUGCCUCAUCAAUAAUUCGCGCAACCAGACAAGCUGCAGACUCAAUAUGGUACGAAGCUAGUUGCUCAGCCCACAUGCUCUGAUAUAACAUUGACAUCUGCUGAUCUACAGUAUAUAUGACCAGAAAUAUUGUGCCCACCUCAAUAACUUUCUGAAGUAUCGUGGGGAAGAACCUACGCGUACUAUGCCUCGGAACUAACUGACAUAUCGGCCCAGGCGGUCUAGGCCGAUUGGACUGGCUCUUCCUUGUGGCUUCUCACAUCCCCUUCGUCCCCAAGUAAUUUCAGGUGUUCUGUAGUUUUCUUUUCACUUGCAUCUGAGCCUCCUAUAUCAAUAGCUUCGGGAUAAGAAUGCCUCUUGAUAACCUUCCAAAUCCUCGCUUGAUUCACAUUGAUUCCGAAAUCAUCUUGCCAUAUCUUCAGAGACUUAGGUCCUAAGGCAUCAUGGAGGAUUGCUCGCCAAGAAUGAGCACCAUUGGGCUCCUGAGGACCCUAGGCCGAUCAGCCCGGGCUCUAUAGGUCGAUUGGCCCAGGCCCUCUCUGGGCCUGUUGGCCUUCAUCUUUCUUUGAGUCGACGCUUAUUCAGGGCUUUGUCCAAUUAUAGUCCAUUAUAGUCUAAUUUCCUAAAAAACAGAAUGUCCUCCAAAAUACAAUGCAUAUGUGAAAACAACCCAAUUAUUAGGUAUGAUCAAUAGUUUAGGUAUUAAAUUAAUAUUAUUAUUUAAGAUAAACAGGGGUAAAGGGUGUCAUUAAUAACAAGCGCCAACAAGCGUCCUAGCUGUUCAAUAAAUUUUUUCUAGUACCGAUUGGUAACACUAACCGGUGCUAAUAUGUACCCUUUAUUACCGGUUAUUUUACCAGGUACUAAAGGAGACAAGAGCAUCCUAACAUAAGGUUAAUAUCAUCCAUUUCAUGAGUAAAAUACUAUGAUUCAAAAAUAAUUCAAAUCCCUUAAGACAAUACCUAUCAAAUGAGUAAAUUGUAAAUAGAGUAAUCUUGAUCAAACAAUGUCCUAAUGAAACGGAACACUUCUGGUUCGUGUAGAGCACAAUAUAGAAAACAGUAGGGUAGCUGUAUGAUUGACACGUGGUCCAUUAAUUAUUGAGCCAACACUAUGGACAUGUCUUCAUGAGUAGUGUACUAGUCAUAAUACAUGGUAUGCAGUAGGUGGAGGUAUUGACUUAGCCAUGCUAUGAGCACUUAGUUACAACAAACACUUUGCCAUUAUCGAGCAUCCCAAAUCACUACAAAAUCCAUAGUUUACCAUAUACUACAAAAUCUGAGUUAAAAUAAGAGCAUACACGGAAGAGUCCGAAUGCACGGCACAUUGAAUUACUAGACAAAAUUUAUGGGACAAGGUUUUGGGUAACCGCAUGAAAAAUAUUGGAUUUUACUGAACACUUAGUUACAAUUACCAUGCCCGUGAGCACUUAGUCACCACAAACAUUUAACCACUUUAGAUCAUCCUGAAUCCCUAUAAAUUCUAUACCUUACACCGUACCAUGAAAACGACAAGAACAGAGACAGAUGCGGUGAAAAUCUCCAGAGCAAGCCUGAAAUUAAAAUAAGAGGAGGCAGUCACUAUCGACAGGACACGGAGAUUGCUAGCCAUGACAGAGGAAGACAUGAUAUGAUAUUCACCUCUGAAAUGCAGCGUAGACUAAAUGAAGCACAAUUGCAAGUGAGUGUGGCAGAUAAUGGACCAUCGAGACCAUCGAAUGGUAUGAAGCAUGAUUAUCACCUAGACAUGAUAUCCUAGACAGGACGGUGAAUUGUAAAAAGAGUAAUCUUGAUCAAAGAAUGUCCUAAUGAAACGGAACAUUUUUGGUACGUGUAGAGCAAAAUAUAGAAAACAGUAGAGUAGUUGUACGAUUGAAACUGCAUCCAUCGACGUGGUGCAUGAAUUGUUGAGCCAACACUGUGGACAUGUCUUCAUGAACACCAUCUAGUGAGGACAGCAUGCAGAAAAAUAUAAAAACAUGUCAUAGGGAGGCAGACCAAUCUUGCGAGGUAGACGAAACGUGAUACACGAUCUGCCUACCUUGUCGUGUGGAUACCCCAAGUGAAGAUGUCAUAGAGGUGCAGACCAAGCUAGCAAGGAGGUAGAUGAAACGUGAUACACGGCCUGCCUACCUUGCCGUGGAUAUUAGUCCUGAUAUCAUUCUAUUGUUCAAGGAAUAACACUCAAUGCUGCUGCUGCUGCUGACCUGGCUCCAUAAAGUUAUAUUCCUCUAGCCGCUUGCACUAACUUUAUCUGAAGUAUUAUUCUCUCUGCACUGUAUAUAUGGUUACGGAGUUUGCUGGAGUAUCCGGGGGGAAGAACCUACAUAAUAUGUCUUGGAACUAACUGACAUUGAUUCACAGACAAGGUGCUGUUGUUGACAUGGUACAGUAAAUAAUAUAGUUUACCAUAUACCGUAUACCAUUAUAUGUUAGCUAAAAUAAGAGCAUAACAUGUCGCAGGAGUCCAAAAGCACCGGUUGAGGACCAGGUACAUUAAAUUACUAGAAAACAAAAGGGGACAAGGUUUAGGUAGCCACAUGAAAAACAUUUGAAUUUACUGUACCAUGAACACUUAGUUACCAUGCCGGGAGCACCUAGUUAACACUAACAUUUAGCCACUUUAGAUCAUCCCGAAACACCAAUGACCCUCAAUAGCGACAAAUUUUGGUUUAAAUGCCGUCACCAAUGAUCCUCAAUAGUGACGUGUUUAGGUUUAAAUCCCAUCACUAAUAACCCUUGGUAGUGACGUGUUUUGGUUUAAAUCUCAUCACCACUGAUCCUCACUAGUGACGUGUUUUUAGCAACACACGUUAUGAAUGACUUGUCAUUGGUGACAUGUUAAACGCGUUAUCUCAAUGGCAAAUCAAUGGUGACGUGUUUAAAAAAACAUGUCACUGUGAGAGUUAUUGGUGAAGGGUAAUUAAAAUGCAUCACUAAUUUUGUAGCAUUAGUUAUGAUAUAAUUUUGUAACGCAAAAAUCUACCAUAGUAAUGAGGUUUAGAGCCAUCACUAAUGUGGGUUUCUUAUCGUAGUGAUGCAAGCUCUACAAGGUGCUGUUGUUGCCAUUUUAAAGCAUCCCAAAUGACUACAAGAGUCCGGUUGAGGACUAAACAAAUUGAAUUACUAGAACCAAAUGUAUGUCCAGAACAAAGAAAGGGGUCAAGGUUUGGGUAACCGCAUUAAAAACAUUGAAUUUUACUGUACCAUGAACACUUAGUUACCAUUACCAUGCCUUGAGCACCUAGUUACCACAAACAUUAAUUUAGCCACUUUAGAGGUUCCACAAUCACUAUAAAUAAUAUACCAACACCGUACCAUGAAAACAUCAAGAAGAGAGACGGGUACAUGGACCACCAUCAAGUGAGUAGUGACAGCACGCACAAGAAUACCCGGAACCUUUUAGCUUGUCUGUAGUGAUCUGUUUUCUUCGCCACAAAUAAUGAAAGAGGCUGACCAAGCUAGCAACGAGGUAGAGCAAACGUGAUACACGUAGGUUUCAUUCAAGACAUCCAUGUAAGAUUCAUUCAAAACAUUCAUGGAAAUUUCUUGUAAGUUUUCAUGUAAAUUUCAUUCAAGACAUUUGUUAGAGGUGUUGUAUAUACACUUAACGUACAUAUAUCUAUGAUUUCAUGGUUGUUAGUGAUGGCAGAUGAGGAGCAUGCAAGGUGUUUAAUGGAGCAGAUUAUUGCUAGUGGUAGUGGCUCCAACCUGCCCGUAACGUACACCGACGAAGAGGGCAGCCAGGCGGACAUGUUCCUCAACAUGUCCGGUGAUGGCAAUGAAGAGCCCGAGCAAAACCUUGCCGUGACGGAAGGUUCCAUCGAGGUAUAUAUCAUUUCCAUUAUUUUACCCCAUCUAUAAUUUCAUAUUCAUUAUUACUAUGUGCUAAUUAAUGAAUCUUGAACCGUUAGUCCUCUAGAUCAACGAACCGAAAUAAGCCCCGAGGUCUUACAAAGAUAAUGCAGGGAAGGCUUCACAUCAUGGAAGUCACAGAAGAGGGCACAUCGGUUGCUCCCGAACAUGUGGCAAGAAAGUACGUGAGUCAAACCGGGGCAAUCGUAAGGGACAACAUGCCCAUCAGCAUCAGGGAAUGAAAGAGCAAUAGAAAUGAUCUAUACGCACCCCCGGAUACACAAAAGGAUAUGUUGUGGGCAAAUAUCAAGAAACACUUCACAUUUCCCAAAGGAUAUGUUGAAAAAUAUGUGAAAGCGUGGAUGUUGAAGAAGAUGGCCACCCAAUUCCAGACAUUCAAGAAGAUGUUGGAUGCCAACUUCAUCAAGAAGGGUCGAACUCCGGGUUUCAAUGAGUGGCCAAAGUUAAGGGACCACUGGGAGUCGUUUGUCGAAUACAAGACGAGCGAAGGUGGUGCGAGUAAGGUUCACAUCAAUGUUGCCAAUGCUAGCAAGGAGUACCAUCAUCAUCUAGGGCGACGUGGUUACAGCUCUGCAAUUCCCAGAUGGCGCAAGAUGGAACAAGACCUGAUCGAUCGGGGUAUCGUACCAGCAACUCUUGACUGGAUCGAUUGAAAAAUUGGUAUUAUGCUCAUGAAGGCAAUCUGAGCCAAGAGGAUCCGACAUUGGUCUUCAAUAAAACAAUACGUCAGAAGGUCGGAAGGCUUAUUAGGAACAUUGAAGAUGCUAAAGCUGGGAGGUUCAAGGUGGAUAGAGAGAAUGAUGAACUCACAUUGGCCCUCGGGACUGUCAUCUCUAGCACUUCCAGCUCCAGGACUAUCGUCACCACCGGGACCGUCGCUUCCUGCUCGAUCACAGUCUCCAUCUCCAGCACAUCCUGGUGGUGCGAGCGACGACGACAACAACACCCCUCCCUGCCCACCAUUGCCGGGACUAAGACCCGCAUUGAGUAAGGAACCUGCAACACCACUGAAGAAGUCGCGACCACCACCUUCAAGGCAAGUCAGCAAAAGAAGAAAGCAGAGAAGCCUAAACCCACUGAGAAGCCAGCGACUGAUAUGACCGAUGCGGAAAGAUGGAAGGCACUCAAAGAAGAAUGCAGGGAGUGGUUCAGCGAAGGCGAAGGUGAGAAAGUCGUAUGAAUCGAAUUCAAGGAUAUAUAUGAAGUGAACCAUCAGGAUGCCCUUGAUGUCUCUCUCAUCAGCGCCUAGGUUCUGUAAGUGUAUGUUUAUCUAUAAGUAAAUUUUGGCUCAUAUCAUUAUUUUUUUUGCGUGCGUCACCCUACUAACUUCGUCUUCCAUUUUAUGUAGGAUGCUAAUUCAGACGUGCCGCAUAGAAGCGUACUUCCAUGUUGGAUUCAUGGAUCCAUCCCUAGUUAACCAAAAGCCGAUACGGAAGUAGCUAGAGAAAACGUUGGAGGUGGUGUACAACCUCCUGGACAAACUAAACUACAGAAUAGGGGCAAUAUGUGAGGGUCUUGUAGGAUUCCUAGUGGACGAGGUGAUAAAUCCAUAAGGAGAAUAUCAUUCCAACGGACGAGCAUUAGACACACUGAGCAACACCUAGAUGGGAGGAUCCUAGGAAUGACCUCGACAGAUUUUGGUAUAAAUAGUAAUUGUGUAAAUACUAGUUUGAUUUGUAUAGGAAUAUACUAAGAAUUGUAUAUAUAGUAAUUGUACAAAUACUAGUUUGAUUUGUAUGAAUACUAGAUUGAUUUUAUUAUAAAAAAGUUUUAAGUCGUACGUGCAUGCGCCUACAAAGGCGCGGAUGCCUUUUAAUCCCAGUCGGAAAAACAAACUGGUACUAAAGGGGCUCGUGCCGCACCUGGCAUGACCACCCCUUUAGUCCCGGUUGAACGACCCAGGACUAAAGAUCUCCGCGUCUCAAAAAUUUUAUCUCGGAUGCUUUUUAGAGAGAUUUGAGGCCUAUCAACCAAGACUAAUAUCGAGUUUUCUACCAGUGAAACUAACUAACGUUCACAUGGUUUUGACAUUCACCUGCCAUUUGGUGUAGACAAGGGCACCCUAACAUAUGGUUAAUAUUAUUCUUGAAAGAAAAUCCUUUGAUUCAAAAUACUUCAAACCUAAUAAUACAAUACUUCUCACAUCUGAAAAAUAUGAGACGGCCCGACAGUAUUCUAAUCGACGCAAUAAUAUUUUGAGGGCAGCACUACUACAGCGACCCUCAUUCGUGCCGGUGCUGGGACUCCUAUCACGACCCUGAUACAAAUGAGGGUACAUUAUUGGUGCCAGUGCUAGAACAGCCACGAAUAACUUGCUAAACGUGCUGUUACACUCACUACAGGGACCAAGAAGGUAGAUAAAUUACACGACAUAGCCUUGGUUGCCGUGGAAGCGCCAAGAAGGGAGACAAAUUACAGGGACCACACCAUCAAGUAGAUAGUGACAAUAUGCAAAAGAAUACCCGCGCCUGUUAGCAUGUGAACUGACCACACCACGAAACGUGAUACACGGCAAGCGUACCAAGGCCUUGCUGUGCAGACUAUGCAUGGACAACACAUGGUACCUGACCGCUUUUGGCCUCAGACACAUCGAAAAACUGCAUCGUUCCACGUUGUACAUCCAUUGCUAGUUUAUCUAUAUUACAUAAUAUAUUAUUAGCUAUUUGAAUAGAAUGAACCAAUUAAAAAAUUGCGUUGUAUUUUUAGUACCGGCUGCAGGAUGGUGUUACCAACCAGUACUAAUUGGCCUGUAGGAGUGAUGGUUAUUAGACUUGGUACUGUUGUUAGCAUCAUUAACCUAAUUGUGCGCCGUAUGAAUUUGGGGAUGCAAAGCUAGCUCUCUAUGAAUGUGAGGGAUGGAAAGCUAGUUCUCUAGUAGUAAUUAUAUAUAUGACAGUCAAGAAAUCGAACACUAUGCUGCUACGAGUCACCAUCAUUUCCUUCAUUGACAAUCUGACAUAGGUGAAGCUGCUUCAAUAAUUUCCUUCGCGCAGUCGUGGAGCUUAUUGGAUUAUCACCAGGACGGGACACGGAAAUGGCCAGCAAUGAAGCUGAUUGCCGUCUGAGGAAGACUACAUACUUACCUAUGAAAUGAAGCGAUUGCAUAGACUAAUGAAGCAUUGCAUAUUUGCAUGUGAGUGUGGCAGAUAAUUCUGCAGGACAUGAUUGCAAUCCACGCACCAUCGAGAAGACUGGGGCGAUGGGGUUGCCUCAUCAAUAAUCACGUGGAUGCAUGCAUGCAUGUUCCCGCAACCGGACAAGGGUCUGAUAUAUGGCUAUAGUAUUACUGAGCCCACAUCAAUAAUUUCCACUGGUGUAUCGUGUGGGAAGAAUCAACAUACUACACCUCGAGUUCUUGGAACUAACUGACGUUCACAUGCAACCUCCACAAGGUGCUGUAUGCUUUUGACAUUCACCUGCCAGUUCGUGUAGAGAAGGACACCCUAACGUAUAGUUAAUAUUAUCCAUUUCAUGAGUAAAAUACUGUGAUUCAAAAAUACUUCAAAUCCCUUGAGACAAUACUUCUCACUUGACUAACCACUAACCAACCCCGAAACCCUAACUCAACUCCGAACCCUAACCCCUAACGGCAUAACCACUCCGUUUUGCCGGCGAGAUGGAGGAACUGGCUGGAAGGUAGAGAGGGCAGCGGUCCAGGGUUGAAAACGACGGGCGAGCGCAGUAACAUGUGGAGGAGGAAGUGCCACGUAUUCGUUCACCGCUAUUGGGCAGCGACACACGACACGCCCAAUAAGAUCUUCGCACGGUAGAAGGACGUCAUGUAUUCAAUAAUGUUAUUGGUCCCCCAUGUGCAGAAGGGCGCGCGCGUAUGGAAUAACAAGUAGGGACACUGCAACUAAUCUACUCUGCUCGUCCAGUCCCUAGCCUAUAAAUAGAUGCCAUGCUAGCUCUUGUUGUGCUCACAAUUAAUCCGAUUACACACGAGCUUCUCUCCCUGGCCAAGACACAACCAUAGUAUGAUGAAGAACAUGGCACUAGCCGGCAAUGGUAUGAAGAAGUUAAUCCUCGCUGUUCUCUUACUGUGUCUAGUUAUAGGGCAGAUACAAGUGGAAGCUAAGAGCUGCUGCCCAUCCACCACUGCAAGAAAUGUCUACAAUACCUGCCGUUUCACGGGUACAUCCCGUCCAACGUGUGCAAAACUGUCAGGCUGCAAAAUUAUCAGCGGGAACAAAUGCAAGCCCCCUAACGACCACCUCACCCUUGACCCGGACACUGGUAAAUAAUAAAUUUAUCUCACUUGAUUUCUUCGUGAUUUGAGUCGUUAAUGUAUUUUCCAUCUGAUGAAACGUAUUGGUUUUGCAUUGAAGAGGAAGUUAAUGUGCUUAACUUCUGCAAGUUGGGGUGUGCGUCGUCUGUGUGCAACAACAUCAACGCUGGUAAGCAACUUUUGCUCAGACAGAGAAAACAAUAAUCAUUAAUUAGCGGCAGCUAGAAUCCUAUAAUCUAAUAUAUAUAUAUAUAUAUAAUUUUAUCAGCUCUGGGAAAUGAAGAGGCGAACGAUGCCGUUGAGAGUUGCGACCAAGCCUGCUCUAGCUUCUGCAGCGUGCAUGUUGGCAGCGCCACCGUGGUUGCUUAAGCAAAUGCAUCCAACUAGAUCGUCCUUGUGCUGAAUAAUUGGAUAUCGUAUCCACUUAAAGCUGCCUUGUGUAGUACGUCUUUGUGUCUCUCUUUAUAUUCCAAUAAGGUCGGUGAUCUUGAUGCCACACACUCAGAUGUGUGUUCAUCUCCAGAUACUACUCCAUGCUACCUGCCCUUUGUGUUUUGUUCAAUAACUGGGUAUCAUAUCCCAGCCAGUAUGCCGUCUGUUUUGUGUUUGUUUCCUUCUAGUUCCAAAGGGGUCAUCAUGAUGUUACCUUCUUUCAAUAUGGUGCUUUGCAUGACUACUGUUGUAUGGUACCAUCUUGUGGCCAAUAAGUACAUCUUAUCCUAUGACCUUUGCUAUGACCCUUUGCAAAUAAGUAGAAGAUUGUUAUAAGCGUCAAUACUCCGUAUAAAUUGAUCGCUGCUGUGAGUUCCCUUUCAGCUUAUCGUAGGCAUACAUUAUUGCUAGCACGGUAAAGCCAACCAACACGAAUGAUGAAGUAAACGUAGCGGUACUUCUGUAUACCAACACCCUUACUUAAAU
rnacentral:lncRNA from 1 species